rnacentral:lncRNA from 1 species
AUGGCAUCCAUGACCAUGACAGCCGCCUCAUUCCUGACCGCAGGCUCAGCCUCAACCAUCGCCAAACCUUCAACUUCCAGCCGCCGGAGCCUCGUCGUAGCCAAGGCCGCCGCCAGAGCCCCAGAGGGAGAAACAAAGAAAGAAGAGAGCAGCAGCAGCAGCGGGAGGAGGGACUUGAUUUUUGCGGCUGCGGCUGUGGCGGCGUGCUCUCUUGCCAAGGCUGCUUUGGCGGAUGAGCCUAAGAGGGGGAGCAAAGAGGCAAAGGAGAAGUAUGCUCCUGUUUGUGUCACCAUGCCAACUGCUCGUAUCUGUCGCAACUGAGUAAACCACUACGUACUUUCAUUUGCUUUGAUUCAGUCACUCGUGGUGGUUGUAUUAUAAUCGUUCUACAACUUUGUAUGAUGCUCUUGUAAUUUUUCUUGGGACAGAUCUGCCUUCUUCCCUCUUCUCAUAUUACAUGUUUAUGUCACUUUUUAUUUUUCUAAAUUUUCUAUGUUGUUAACUGUGCGGAGAGAGCAAAGGGUCUGGUAGCUCAAGUGGUUUAAAACGCAUUUGAACCAAGGGCUUUUGCAUUAAAAAACAACAUGCGGCACAUAAAGAUUCUGGAAUCAAAUUCACUACUUUAGGUAUUGGAAAAGUGAUGAUUUCUAUAGUCCAACUGUAGAACAAAGUUCUACUAUGUCAUCGAUAAUGUGUCAAUAACAUUGUAACUAGCAAAACGUACCGACAUAUUAUCAAUAUAUAAUAUCAAUAAUAGCAAACGAAAAGACAACGUGCAUAUAAGUACAAACCAGCAAACAUAUUACCUUUCUUGAACAGCAUGCAAUCCUCAUGUGGUAUGAUUAUGGCUCUAGCAUUAUGGCAGAGCUUCGUAUUUUAGUUGGUAAUUUUGUAGUCCAACUAUGAAACAAACAUUCGUUCUAGCAAUAUGUCAUUGAUAUGAUGUUUUAGCAGUGUAGUCAACAAAACAUAUUGGGAUAUAUUAUCAACAAUAUUGAUGAAAGAAUGGACAUCUUACACCGAGGAUUUAUGAUAAGUUAUGCGCCCCAAAAGAUGGGCUAGAAUGCUGCAAGGCCCUUGGUCGUGUGGUACUUGCUAGUUGCUACAUACUAGUGAGCAGAGACUCCUUUCAGAAACCUAUACCACCACUCCUCGCCAAAAGGACCGACGCGGCAACACCAGUCAAAUUGCAAACCGCAGCAGCAAUCUAUGGAAUCUAAACACCUAGUCCGGCUUGUCUGGAUCGAACAUAUUGAGUUAAAUUUUCUUGCCAUGGGUUUAUAUGACUCUUUACGUGAUAAGAGAGAGAGAGAGAGCAAUGAUAUACAACCCCGAUAGGUACGUAUUUUACAGGUCCAGGUAUGUCAAAAAAAAAAAAAAAACUGUAAGUCAAGAACCAACUGCGAUCCUCCGUUGUUGAACAGCUUCACAUAAUAUACAUUCUAACUUUUUUUCUUUCGGAUUGAGAGAAUCAGUUGAAAACAUGCGAACAAUCUAAACAGCCGAAAACCGAGAUUUUAUUAAACCAUAACAAUAAUUAAGGAACAGGACUUUAGCCCGAAUACAGGAAACACAAAUCCAAGACACAAAACUUGGAGAGAGAAUCAGGGACCAAAUCCAAGACACAAAACUUCGAUACAAAAUAGUACCAAAUCCAGCCCCCAUUUCGAGUAGCAGCUUGGAGAGAGAAUCAGGGACAUUGUCCAUCAUUCGCCUUGGCAACUUUGCCCGGCAGCAUAAAAGACUGCAACACAAUUUUCGUGGCAAACUCAUUGGCUUUUCCCAUUGUGCUGGGAAGCAACAAAAUUGCGAAUAACUUCCAUUGCUAACUGGUGAGCAUUCUUAUUCUGCAGCUUUGCAAGUUCAUCCACAGCUUCAUACGUUUCCUUAUCAGCAAAAAGUUUCAAGUUGUAACGUGUUGGUGAUGCCUCUGGACCUUCCCAUUUGUCAACCAACUCUUGAAGUUUCUCAAAUCCCUGAUAACAAUAUACCAAUUAGAAUGACCAACAUAUUUUCUUAACACAGUAUUUGAGAUUAAACCACCUUCUUAAUCCUUCGAAGGCCUACAUAUAAUUUAAAAUCUAAUUUAUAACUUACCAAGCGGUUUGUGAAGUUGCCAAAUGACUCUUUAGAUUGUCGUUUACGUUUCCAGUAAUAGAACAAAGGUUCGAAAACCUUUUCAAGGUCUUGAACCUUGACCUUGUUCAUGAAGGAUUUUGCGAGUGAGGUUUGAUUGGAUGUUCCUCCAAGCCAGAUCUAUUUGAACACAAACAGAAAUGAAUAAACGCUCAGUUGCUUUCUUGAUAAUCUGGAUUUGAGCACGAUCAAUAUUGCAACGGAUGUGCCAGAAUUUGAAUUACCUGAUAGCUAUUUGGACCAUCACCAACUAGUCCAAGUUCAGCCAUGUAUGGCCUAGCACACCCAUUAGGGCAUCCAGUAAUCCUUAUAACUACUGAUUCAUUGUACUUCAGACCAACCUGAAAUUCAAAAGAAAAAUUUAUCACAUGCAAUCUAAUUCGUUAUCAAUAAAUGAUCUUGAUUUUCCACCUUUUGUUGGUGCUUUGUGAAAUGUGCUUGUUAUUAUGGUAAUACCUUCUCAAAUACUGCUCGAACCCGCUUAAGAAUGUCAGGUAUACCUCGUUCAGCUUCAGUUAUUGCCAGUGGGCAUAGUGGGAAGGCUGGGCAUGCCAUGGCAGUUAGGUUGAGGGGGUCUACAAACCUAGGAUGCUGCCACAAUUGUAACUGGUUAGUAUGAACCCAAUUUAUAAAAAUUCAUAAUGUAUGAAACUUUCAUAUAAUAGACACAACAUAUUCCAAACAUUUCCAGAUAGACAACAUAAUAACAGGUGAAUAAGACAAUCCAUCAUACCGGGUUGAUAAGGUUCAAGUUAUUGUUGAUUCAUAGAAUAGGCAGUGAAUACCCGGUAGGAGUAUGCAGCAGACAAGUUCAUAUUGAUGUCCACUGAAGAGGGAGUAAAAAUAAUUUAAAAAAAAAAAAAAUAUCUUACCAGCAGACCGGCCUUUGCAAGAACUGUGGUGAUGGGACGCUUCCAUGCACUGCGAAUAUCACACAAUAUGAUAUUCUGGUUUGGUGUGAGCCUUAUACUCAAAUUAUACUUUUCUAUAACCUCUCUUAAUGCCUGCUUCAUAACUCCUCCAAUCCGACCAUUAUCAACAUGAAGCCCACAAUAAUAACUGCCAUCACCCUAUCAAACAAAGAUAAAUAGUCAUGACAUAGCGCUUUGCAAUUUGAAACUUAAGACGGAAUCAAAGACAUUCAAUUCUAUAUGUGAAGACCAACAGAACGAACCUGCUUGUGCCAUCCCAAAUGACUUUUGAAUUCCCACUCCGGCAACUCACGGAAAGGCUCAAAUUUCUUUCCGUAGUAUUGUUCCACUACACUUCUGAACUUUUCAAUCCCCCACGAGCUGAUCAAAUAUUUCAUCCUACUAUACCUACGAUCAUCUCUUCUCCCAUUUUCACGUUGUGUAACAACUAUAGCCUUAAUGGCAUAUAGGAUAUCCUCUUUGGGGACAUAACCCAAUGGCUCAGCCAGACGGGGAAAAGUGGAUUCCAUCCUGUGUGUCCUUCCCAUACCACCACCAACCUGCAGAGAAAAUAAUCAGAAAUCUUGCUUGUGGAGAAAAUGAGCUCACAUAUAAAUGUUAGUGCAUAACUUCGUCUUACAUAUAGGUUAAACCCUUGAGGCUCCCCGUUAUCAUCAGAAACAACCACAACACCAAUAUCAUUUGUGAGAAUAUCCACCGAGUUGUCUGUUGGCACUGUAACUGCAACUUUAAACUUCCUGGGCAAGAACUGAGUUCCAUAAAUGGGCUCAGGUGAAUCAGGGAAGUUUGUUCCAUGAGAAUUAUCAUUGCGGGCCUUUGUUACUUCAGGAGAUUCUGCAGUCAGGAACUUUUCUCCAUCCACCCAAACAUCGUAGUAAAAUCCAGACUGUGGAGUCAGCAAUGCUGCAAUGUUCUCAGCAGUCUGCUGUGCGCAAAGGUAAUCCUUUCUUUGUAUUGGAGCAGGAGGAGCAAGAACGUUUCUGUUAAGAUCACCACAGGCACCAAGAGUUGAACCCAUGCUUCUAAUGAUGCUACUCAUUACAGUCUUUAGAUCCUUUUUCAGAACCCCAUGGAGCUGAAACGUCUGCCUUGUGGUCAAACGAAGAGUACCAAUUCCAAACUGAUCAGCAAGAUCAUCCAUGGUCAAGUAUAAUUGGUUUGACACUUUCCCACAAGGGUUCUUGGUACGAAGCAUGAAGGAGUAGGACCUUCCACCACGUUCAUCUCGGUUAUAUUGUUGAUAGCUCCCGUGGAACUUAAUGAGUUGCGUAGCAGCCUCAUUAAUGUUCGGGGCAUCCGUCAAAAUCUCUUCAUUAAGAGGGUAUCUGAUGAAGUUGCUCUGUUCUUUGAAUAUUUCAACCUUACUCCGCUUCGUCUCAGUUGCAGUCUCGGCCUUUGGAGGCUGCAAAACACAGAACCUAUGAAAACAAGCACAUUUCCUACAAACAACUAACGAUAAGCAAUCUAACUAAAAUUCGUUCCACAUUUUCCGAUCGCCGAGGCCCCUCGGAGCCCUAAUGUUUCUAACUCAUUUAUCCCAACCAAUUGAUGAAACUCAACAAAAUUACGCAUUUUAUGAAGAUUUGAUGCACUGCGUGUCAAUUAUGAUAAAAGAAUUACGUAAAAAUUAAGCAUAAAAUAGCCAAAAAAAAUGCUUCAACUUUUCUAGGUUAAUUGAAUAAUUCACAUUAAUCCAUGUUCGAUAAACUCGGUAAAACAUUUUGACAGUGGCGGCGGCGGCAGAAAUUUACAAAAUUAAAUUCAAAUAAAAACUAAUAGAGACGAAAUAAGAUCUCCAAUCGGCCAAACAGUUGAACCAAAGCACAUUUUGGCUCAAUCUCUCUCUCAAAAAGCACAUUAAUUUAUCAUCUUUCUCGAAUUUUCUGAGCAACCAAACAGAUGUCUAACAAAAUAGAGAGGAGGAUCAGACGUUCGAAAACGCACCGUAGCGACGGCUCGAAUAAGCGAAGAGGAAGAAACGGAAGAGAGAGGCACUUGUCGGCUUCUGGUGAGGCAAAGCGAGUUUGCUGAGCGCAGCCCCUGGUACCUCCCAAUCUGCACCUUGGGCUCCCCCAGCACCGCCGUGUUCGUAGCUCCGAACGUCGUCGUCGUCGUCAUACCAAUCAAAACGACGGCGCUUCGAGAGGGUUUACGAGUUAGAGAGGAGAGAGAGAGAUAUAAGCUGCUGAGUUGCGUAGUGGAAUUGAGCGGUGUAGAGCGGGCGGAAAAGAGGGUUUUUUCUUCUUAAUUUUUAAUUCACGCGCCUACCACGGGAACGUUUCUGUUUUGGGGACUGGGACGCGGAGGAUUGGUGCGCGUGGAGUUUAUCUGACAGAAAUGCGAAAUCAGAGUUCGAUACCUGGGUUGAUGUUACAUCGAACCUGGACGGAAUUGCGUGUUUUUAUUUCGGUUUCGCUUUUUUGCAUGGUCAAAUGCGUCUGCGGUUCUUGAUAAAUUGGUUGGACGCGUGUGGCAGCCCUACUACUUCUGAAGGGAAGAGAUGCAGAGAUCCAACUUGGCUUUGUUUUGACAAUCACGGGGUAGCCUGGUAGUUAGGAAUAAAUUUCAGGCCCAUAUCCACACGGUAUGAUUUGGAUUUGAUUUUUGGAGUUGGUAAAUCGGAUGAUGGUAGUUAGGAGGAGUUGAGAUGCCUUUGUAUAUUACGGUUUAGUGAUAUUUUUUUUCAUUUGUCAGCGAGAGAUCUUAAGUUUCAUUCUUGUUAAAGGCGAAUUUGAAUCAUAUUAUUGCUGACCCAUUAUAAGGCCAAGUCCACCACUCCUUAGUGUGAAUAAUAUCGUUUGUUUAAAAAAAAUAAAAAAAAUAAAGUUUUUUUUUUUCGUUAGCAAUGCAUGUCAGUCUUUGGGCACAAUUAGAUUUUUAAAAUGCUACUAACAAUUUUAUGUUUUAUGGUUAAAUCUUGAUUUUUAUGUUUUAAACAAAUAUUUAUGGUUAAAUCUAUUUGUCCGUUUGAAGACAUCCGAUAAAAUUGGAACCAGACAAAUAUUUAAUGAAGCAAACUCAACUCCAAAAGAAUACGUGUCAACUCUAAUUAAUUAGGCUCGAGUUGUCCAAUUUUAAUCAGUUGACGAUGCAAAAUAGUUAUCACACCAAUGAGACAAUAUGUAGGUUAACAUGGUUCAAGCUACUUAUUAUCGAGUCAUUUACCUAAUUCGAAACUCCCAUAUCUUAAAUUAUUAUAAUAAUUUCGAACCAUUCAUCUCACUUUAUUAAUAAUAAUUAAAAGAAAUUGGGGUCAAACUAAAAUUGACUUGACUAACAUAUUAAUUUGGUUAUUCAUUGAGGCGUGGUUUGCACAUGACCAUUGAAAGCAUCUUUAAUGGAGAGAUGCAAAUUUAAAAUGAAAAAAAAAACCAUAUUUGUUGUAGGGCUAUUUUAUUGAUGGAAAAGAGAUGGGGAGGGCCAGAGGCGGACAUAGAGAUAAGAGAGAGUUAGAAAAUUCUAUGGUGUGAUUUCUCACUUCAUAAUGCAUUUAUUUAUAGUAAUGUUUGGGCUCAAAAUAAUAUUUUGGGCCGAGCUUAGAGUCGUUCUCGGUCCUGUAACAUUCAUCUAGAAUCUUGUCAUGGGUUGUCCAAUCAAGGUUGGCCGAAUCCUAUUACGAAGAGGAUUGGUUUAGAUAAGGGUGAGGUAGUCAAACCCUAGUGCAACAAGAAGUCUUAAAGCUAAGGAUGCUUAGAAUUAGGGGAUGAAUCUGGUUCGUUAAGGAGCUUGUUUCAAAGUCCUAUAGGGGUUAGGAUUGGCCCAAACCUGAUAAUAUUGGGUUGAUGAGUUCUAAUCCAAGUAAAUUUCUAGUUUAGCCAUAAAGGGUUUCACUGCUAUAAAUAAAAAGGGGAGUGCAUCAUUUAAGGCCUCUUCAAAUCAACACACAAAUUGCCCUGCGCAAGCUUUUCAACAAUCCUGAGAUUUUUUCCUCUCCCCUUUUCUUCUUGCCAACACAUCUUCAGUUUAGAUAGACAGAGCACUGUGAAGGUAGCCAGCAACAUCUUUAGUUUGGAUAGACAACACUGGAGCUGUAGAAUCAGCCGACCAAUGAACACCUUCAGUUUGGAUAGACAGCACUACUUCGAGGCCGACUGGUUAUUUAUCCAAGUCCUGGUCAACAAGGAUUUCAGAGUCCUUGUUGGUAGAGGUCAUCUCAUCAGCAUUCUCGGUGAAGUGAGGUGUUAUCAGGUUACUACAUUCGGCACAUUGAAAGUCGAAUUUGAAAUUAAACUUCGUAAAACUAGCAACCUUGUUUCCAGGCUUUAUCGUAAGAUCAAGAAGUCAACAACACGCCCAAUGCCACAUCAACAUAUUUUACUCCCCGGCCGAACUAGGCUGACGAGUUGGCACGCCCUACACACAACCGAAGGAUGUAGUUAGCUUAUUAAUUACUCGGCGGGACCCAGUGCUAAAGCUACAAAGUUCAUAACCAUUGAAACACGGUCAGUAAAAAAGAAAACAGUCAUAGGUAAGUCAACGACUAAUCUUCCAUAUACAGUCCAAAACCCAUGGCAAGAUGGCUUGUCACAGGCACAUAAUCCUCAUGAUGCUGUAACAACUGAAGCCACAAGUACAACACGCCAAGAAAAGGAAAUUAAUCUCCGUGGUCAGACUCGUGAUGUAGAAAUCCCCACCAAAAUGACAAAAGAUGUUUUUGUUAAAGAACUAGUGGAGGAUUGUGAUGAUGACGAUGAUGAGGCCUCUGGUCCACCAUUUAGAUCUUUUCGCCAACGACAAUUUGAAGAACAAUCUCAGCAAUUUAAGCAAAUGUUCAGCCGAUAGGUCAAAAGCAUACUUGAAGAGAUGCAUGAUAAUAACACUGUGCAUAACAGAUUGUUCGAAGUUCUAGUUAAUAAAGUCCACAAAAUUGGACUAGCCGAUCGACCCAACCAACCUCAUAUUCAAAAGAAUAAUCCUUUGCUAGCGAUAUAGGUCGAUACAGGAUCUGCUCGGCCUAAAAUGAUUGACUUAGAAAAAAAUGGUGAACCAAGCAGCAAAUUGGUCAGAAUCGACCAAGGAGCAGAAACGGCGCCUGUUGACAUGGUCAAAGUCCAGAGAAUGAUUGAUUCGGCUUUAAAAAAGGGGCCAAGUUCCCAAAAUUCAUUCACUCAUAUCCAGCCUUUGUAGAAAGGUUCGAAUAUCCUAAGGGAUUUAAGAUUCUAGACUUUAGCCUUUUCACCAGAGAAUCAUCCUUAUCCUUAAUAGAACACGUGGCUCGAUUCACUUCUCAAUGUGGAGAUGUUAACAGUGAUUUUCAUAAAAUACGACUAUUCAAUUUCUCGUUAACUGGCUCAGUGUUCACAUGGUACAUCAACCUCCCACCCAACUUCAUCCAAAGCUGGGAGGAAUUAGUCAAGAAAUUUCAUAAGCAAUUCUAUUGGCCAGGGAUAGAAAUGUCAGUUUCUUCUUUAGCCAGGAUGGUUCAAUCAUCUAACAAGUCACCAAUGGAAUAUCUUACAAGGUUUAAAUUGGCCAGAAAUUGGUGCCGAAUACCCUUAAUUGAAGUUGAGUUUGUUAGGCUUGCCCUGAAUGGCUUGGAUGUGGAGUACAAAAAGAAAUUCUAGGGGGCAGACUUCCGAGAUAUAUACGAACUAGCUCAACAUAUCGAGCAAUAUGAUUAUUUGCUCCGAGAAGAGAAAAUCUUGAAAUCCCUAACCCGAAGAACAAUCUACAAAAAUCCAACGGUAAGUUAUGCAUCGGCCGAAGGCGUAGUGUCCUAAUAUGCCAGUAUAGAUGCGGCCGAGAUAGUAAUUACCAAACUAUACGUAUGCAAAACAUUAGCUCACGUUAAUUCCAAAGAUGUCAAAACUUGCUCGGCCUCUGUGGAAGCCAUAGUCAAAACGUCAAAGGUCUACACUUUUGACAUUACCAAGGCCGACGCUAUUUUCGACCAGUUGUUACUUGCAAAAAUCGUCAAGCUUUGGCCAUGGAAUAAUAUUCCUAAGGCCGAAGAUUUGAAAGGAAAGACGUUUUGCAAAUACCACAACUCAAACAAGCAUACGACAAAUAAUUGUGUCGUAUUUCGCGAUGCCAUCCAAAGCUAGAUCGACAAUGGAAAACUCAAGUUUCCCAAGAAACCUUAAAUGAUCAUUAACGUUGAUCUUUCCCUCCGACUAUAGUAAGUAUGGUAAAUGCUCAUCUACCCAAGCACAAGAGAAAAGGAAAAGCUGGGUUCAUCCCGAAGCAGUAUGUCCCUAAGCAUAAUUCUCAGCCACGAUUGAAAAUUGAUCUUACUUCGAACGAACCACCCAAAUACUUUCAAACCCAGCUUAUGCCGAGUCAAUGUCGGACUUCAGCAUAGAGGAAACUGAUAGUCCGAUGGUUUUAUAUAGUCGGUGCCAAUUAAACGUCAUCAUAACUGAGCCGAAGGAACAUCCAUUUUGGGUUGAAGCACCGCAACUGGCGCUGUAGCUGUGGCAACAUCUCAAAAAAUGCUCGGUGCAGGCCAACGCUAGAUAGCGACUUGAUUUUGAUUGCGCCAUUUUACAAUGAAGAUUAUUAUGUGCGUAACUCUGGUAGCUUAAGUUCACCCGUGAAAUGUCGAACCUUCAAGCCACCUGAGUCACGCGACCAGUGUUGGUAUAGCUACAACCAAUCUACCGGUGCAUAUACUGUGUUGUUUAAAUCGCAGAAAUGUCGUCACCAAAGAAUAAACUGUAUGGCUAAUUGAUAAGUAGCCUAGGCUACCCCAGCUACCAAAUGGCAACAGAAAGAAAUGGUGGGUAACGAAGAUGACCGACAACCUCCGGCAAUCAUGAUUGAGCUGUUUCAAGGAAAUAAGGUAAUUGAUCCUGAUCUUGAAACCACGGUUGAAGAAUAUGAGAAAUGAAUCAAAUUCCUUCUUCGACCUGGGGAUAUGAAAACUCACCUCGAGCACUUUCAGAAGGAAGUCAAAAGCAAACUUCCUCCGCUACCCCCAUAAGAGCCAUUAAUUAAAGUUAGACAGAAUUGCCACCCAUCGCUUCUUGGUGAGCCUUUGGAAUGCAUGCAGGAGUUUCACAAGAAGCAUUCGGCUAAUGACUUGUAUGGCUUGCCAAAAGCAUGCCAAGAGUUUCUUGAUCUGGUGUUAACCUACCCUAAUGCCAAAUAGAUCAUAAAAAAAUAGUCUGAUUUGGGAAUGAAGGAUAGGUUUCAACAUAUACGCGAAGCCCGAGUUCUCGACUUUGAGGUAGAACCACAUACUGAUAUUAAUAUUGCCGAUCUUUCUUUCUUUCUCAAGGACCUCCAAUAUCUGCGGUACCAUUUUGAAGUUUUCUCAGUCGUUUCCCUCUUCGGCCUUACAACCGAUGAAAAAGAGCGCGUGGCUUUACAAGCGCAAGACCAAAGUCCAAUGUCGAGAGAGUCAGUGGUCAAAAUUUAAAUCGAAACAGCUCCGACAGACAUGCCAUAUAAACGUGUUUUUACUGCAGCUAAAGAUAGGCAAACUUGUAAUGCCCAUGAGCAAGACAUCUUGCCUAAAAAUACAAAGGACAAAGAUCACAACCUGAUGGGCCCUUUGGUCCUCGACAUCUUGGAAAUAGCAUGAUCCAUGUCUUACCUGCAGAAUUCUGGUCGACACAUCCUAACCAAAUUUCCUGGAUUUUGAUGUGAUUAUCGAGGGGGCCACGCAAGUUGAUUUUGUGGUCACCAAAGAAAUUAAGCAAAUAAGCAAAGAGGAUAAACUUAAAGCAUCUCUCGUUGAACUAUUUCCCCGUUCUUCAUCUAUUAAUCUUCAUCACUUGAAGCCGUUGUAUGUCAAGACCCAUAUUGAAGGAUACCCAACUUCCAAAUUUUUUGUCGACUGUGGAGCAACGAUCAACAUCAUGCCCAUUUCUAUCAUGAAAGCAUUACAUCGCUCCAAAGACGAACUCAUUCCAUCAGGGGUAAUCCUGAGUAGCUUUGUCGGCGAUAAAUCUCACACUAAGGGAAUGCUUCCUUUAGAGGUGAAUAUUGCAGGUUGAAAUCACAUGACCAUAUUUUUUAUAGUCGAUUGAGUAUAAUGCAUUGCUUGGUCGUGACUGGAUCCACCAAACUGGCUGUAUCCCUUCGUCAUUAUAUCAAGUCUUUAUCUUUUAGGACAACAAAUCAGUUUUAGUUUAUCUGGCCGACAAUCAGCCGUUCGAAGCUAAUAUGAUUCAAGCUCGCUAUUAUGAUGAUCAUGUUGGCUACAUCACCCUGCAAGGUUUCAAUGAAGAAUGACGACCAACUCGGAUCUUAGUUUAGAAAGCCAUAGAGGUUGGCAUCGAGACUGUUUAGCAGGAUUCAGCAAGACUCGGGUUGGCUAGCCUAAUUGAUGAUCUUGAUGCCUAAUACCAAACAGGAUAAACGCCGGACUACGGUUUCAUCUAUCAUGGAACGCUUGCUGGCUCAUUGGUAUACUAUUUCCAAGCAACCAAAUUCUGGUGUGAACUUAGUAGAGUUCCUCGCCGAAAGAGACAACGGUCCAGUCUUAUCAUUUGAUAAAGUCAAAGAUGCCCUAGCCGAGCUUGAAGACAGUCGACCCCAAGUCAAAGAUCUAUUAGACAAAAUAAAUGUUAGAAUGACCGAUGACCCUCAGCCUUUAUUUAUUAGUUCUUUAUUGUCGUAACCUAUAAAAAUUGAGCUUUGUAAACUGUUCAAAGAAUUUAAACACUGUUUUGCUUGGAGUUACCAUAAGAUGUCUGGCCUGGAUCGAUCACUCGUUAAGCACGAAUUACGUAUCAAGGUUGGUUGUAAACCUUUUCACCAACACUCCGACGAUUCUCGAUCAAAGUUCAGCUUGGCAUAAAAGAUGAAUUCAUUUGACUUUUAAAAGUUAGUUUUAUUCAAACAGCUCGAUAUGUCGAAUGGUUGGCGAAUAUUGUCUCCAGUUUUAAAGAAAAGUGGUGCUCUACGUAUUUGCAUUGAUUUUCGUAAUUUAAACUUAGCAAUCCCUAAAGACGAAUAUACCAUGCCAACUCUAGACUUGUUAAUCAAUGCUGCAGCAACCAUGAGAUAUUAUCUUUCAUGGACGGCCAUGCUGGUUACAACCAAAUUUUCAUUGUUGAGGCAGAUGUCCACAAAACUGCUUUUCAUUGCCCCGAGGCACUCGGGACCUACGAAUGGGUCAUCAUGCCUUUUGAACUUAAGAACAUCGAUGCUACAUAUCAACAUGCUAUUGAUGAUGUUGUGGUCAAAUCGAAGCAUUGCCAAAUACAUUUAGAUGAUUUUUGGCAAACUUUCCUUUGUAUGCGCUAACAUAAUCUUAAAAUGAAUCCUACCAAAUGCACCUUUGGUGUAUCGGCAGACCACUUCUUGGGUUUCCUUGUACAUUAUCGUGGCAUCAAGGUAGAUUAGAAUAAAGCUUGAACGAUCAUUGAUGCUCCACCCUCGACAAUCAAGAAGCAAUUACAAUCCUUACUCGACAAAACCAAUUUCCUUUGCCGUUUCAUUUUUAACUUGGCAGGGGACAUGAAGGCUUUUUCCACGCUCUUGAAACUUAAGAUUCUGACAAAUUCAAAUGGCGCAAAGAACAUCAGGACGCUUUCACGAAAUCAAGGUCUCCCUCACUACCCCACCUGUCCUCGUGUCACCUUGGUACGGUAAACCUCUUAAGUUGUAUAUCUUGGUUGUCGAGGAAUCCAUUGGCUGUCUUCUUCCGCAAGACAACGACAAUGGGCGGGAGCAAGCCAUUUUUUAUCUUAGUUGGAAUCUUAACUCAGCUGAGAUAAAUUAUUCAGCCGUUGAAAAACUUUGUUUGGCUUUGUUUUUCACUAUGUCCAAAUAGGCAUUACAUGCUCCCUUAUGUUACUUAGCUCACCGCCCAGACAGAUGUUAAUCACUAUAUGCUCACUCAGUCGAUAGUAAAAGUCCGAAUUGGAAAAUGGACAAUGGCUUUAUUCGAAUUUAGUUUGCAAUAUGAGCCCCAAAAAGCUGUCAAAUGAUAGGCGCUAGCCAAUUUCUUAGCUCAACAUCGUUCUCCAUACGAUUUUGGGGUCAACAAUGUCAAAAUUGGCAUGGUAGAAACACGUGAUAAUUAUUGGACGAUGUAUUUUGACAGCUCUAGUACCUCGACCUCUGCCGGCAUUAGAAUCGCCAUCCAGUCCCCUGAUUACUACCGAUGGUAUUUUUCUCUCAAGUUGGAUUUUGAUUGUACAAACAAUCAGGGUGAAUAUGAAGCCUUUGUCAUCGACUUUAAUGUCCGUCACGACUUGAAGGUAGCCCACGUGCUCGUCCUCGGUGAUGCAGAACUUGUGAUUAACCAACUUAAUGGGACUUUUUGUUACAUAAGUUGUACUUUGGCGCCUUAUCAUAUGGUUGCCAGCUAUUUAGCCAAAUCAUUUGCAGGCAUUACGUUCAAGCACAUCUUACGAGUUCGAAAUACUAAUGCAGAUGAGUUGGCUCAAAUAGCCUCUGGAACACAACUCCUGUGGGGGCGAAUUGGGCCAGGUCAUACCAGUGAUGCGAUGUCUACACUCGGCCUUGUUUAAUCAACAAGUUCUCCAAUAAGACCAUGUAAUGCGUACAUGAGUUAUGUCCAUACCUUCGUUGUUGGAACUGUUGGAGAUAUACCAAGAAAGUCAAUCUUUGGAAGAAACCUUUCAGGACAAUGUUUAUAUGUGUAGAUAACUCUACUACUGCAAAAGGCAAAGUUACUCAUUAGGACUAUCUCAAUAAACGAUAUACGUCAAAAGUAGUGAAUCCAUGGACAAUGGAUCGAUGGAAGAAGUAAUUUAAUGAUGUUAGACUGCAGAGACCUUCUUCACAUAACCAUAAUGUCCAAAAGGUUCUUGGUCAUAGGAUUGUCAGAGGGAUACUGACAAUACAUAGACAAGUCCAUACUAUAUCCCCUUCAAAUGGGAAGGAUGGAAAGUCUCAAGCCAUUUGUGUAGUGACACUAAGACAAGUAUGUAGAUGCUCAUUAAGGGAAUGAGUUCACUGAACACAAUCAAACGAGAGUACUUACAUGGAGGUCUACUCACAUGUCAAGCAAGUAACUCUACUGGUUAGAAUAAUGUAAGUAAUCCUUUGACCUGAGACAUCAUAGUUGUCUUGGGGAUACGUUGCUAAUCAUUUGAUAAUGAGACGUGACCACAUCUCAUCUUGGAUGUGUUCUAUGCAUUGUUAGGGUCAGUGAGUUAUUCUCAGAGGCAUGUGAAUGAUCAACAAGAGAUCUCUAAUCCUUGUUAUGAGAGGAAAAAUACUCUAAGUUAUGAUUUAGGAAUCUUCGACUGAAGUAUCAAGUGUAAUGAUGAAAGGCGUUCCUCUACAACUCAAUUGAAUCAUAUAACUUAGUAUAAUCACAUUAGAGGUUUGACAUAAAGUAUCCAUACCCUAGUAAUGUGAUUGUGAGUAUUGUAUUAGAGAAGGAUUGAAUUACAUUGUAAUUCCAAGUAAAUAGGUUCUCUGACCAAAUUCCACAUUAGCUUGGGUAGCCAUGAUAUAUGGUUAGAUGUCACUCAUGGCUUGUGGGUUCUUCUAGAUGAUUAAAUAAGUAGUCAUCAAAGAAGAAAAGGAGAAUUAAAAGUAAGUUUUAAUUCACUAAGUGAUUGCGUAAACACUAAUCAAUUGGAUUGACACCAAUCACAUCACUGCCUCGCUAAUUGAAACCUAAAACGAUUGUACACCGAUACACUCGUGUGUUGAGAGAAUUAACAGAUGAAGGAAUUAAUUAAUUGGAUUAAUUAAGUGUUAUGAUUGAUUAGAAUGUCUAAAUAAAUCAUAGAGACGAUAAAAUAUCGUUUUGGGCUUAAAGAAAAGUACGGGUACUUUUGCGUCCAUUGGGCCCAAACCCAUUGGGCUUUUAAUUCAAACACAAAAAUGACUUAAAUUAAUAAAAGCCAAAGCCCAAACUAACACAUAGUGGCCAGCCAUUAGGGUGAGUAAAGGAGGGAGGGUAAAAGUUAAUUGUUAACUUACUUAUCUCACCUUUAUAUUGAAAGAUAGAGGAAAAGGUUCCUUAGGGUUUUUGUGUGAGCUUUUGCUUCAAGGGAAAACAAAAUAUCUCUCUCUCAGACACACACACAAGGCCGGCCACUAAGAGGAGAAAAUAGCUAAUUGUCUCUUCUCCUUUUGGUUAUUCCAACAUCCAUCUCACUACACUAGUGGGUGUGGAUCUUUAGAGGUCUUCUACCUUGGAGACUAGAGGAGAAUCAAAGGAGUUCCAAACCUAUCAAGUUGGAACUUCCAGGAGGAGAGGUCUUGAAGGUGGUCACUUAUUGGACUCAAGUCAAGGUCCAAAGGUAAAAAAAAAACAAAAAAGAAAACAAAAAAAAAAAAAUCUCUCCUUAAACUUGUUUUUCAAUAAGUUUCUUAGAUGCAACAAAUAUGAACCUAUGCUUCUUAAAAGGGAUUUGCAUGACUAUAGCUCUGAUAAUACGCUUCCAUUGUUUAUGCAUGUUAGUUUUGAAUUGAAUAUGCAUGCUAGUCACUUGAAAUCCCACUUAAAUCUCAAUAUUUGCCUUCAAGUGGUAUCAGAGCCAAAGAUUUAUAUUUGAUGUGUCCUUUUGGAUUUUAUGCAUAUGGGUUUUGAUUUUAUGUUUGACAUAUUAUUUCUUCAUUCUAGAUAUGUUUAUCUUUUGUUUUUCAAGUGUUGAAAAAUGUGUUUCAAGAAUUGAAAAGGAUAUGUAUGCAAGAAGUGUUUUGGAUGCAUGAAUGAAGAGUGAUUUUUUGAACAAAAUUUGGGGUUUUUUUCUUCCAUGGGGAGGGCACGGUUUUUUUUUUUUUUUUUUUUUUGGGGGGGGGGGGUUGGCUUGUGUUGGUUCUUUUUUAGUCACACACACACACACUUUUAAGCUAGAAACCCAAGUCUUUGUCACUUUUGUUUUUGGUUUGAAAAACCACCAAGAAAGCUAAAAUCUUGAAAUUGUUUUCAUGGUUUUGUUCUUGGUGUUCAUUUUUUUUUAUUCUUGUUGUUCUUUUUUUUUUGUUUUUUUUUGUUUUAGGAGUUAAUCUUUGUUGACUAUUGUUAAAUUUGUUUUAAAAACCAACCUAGAUUUACUCCAUCCUAGACAAGACUAGGAGGCCAUACCUAAAAGUACAGCAACUACAAAAAGGUGACAAGAAAAAGCAUGACCCUUUAUUUUUUACAUAAAGGGAGAAGUAUGGUCUUCUCACUCACCCAUCAUGCCUAGGCCGGCCAUACCCUUUCAAAAGGCCCCUUGUAGGCUCUUUUGCAAUUUGAAAAGUUUAUUAUACUUUCUAUAUUUGCAUUUCGGCCCCACCUCACUAGAGGACAAAAUAUUUUUUUUUAUUUUUUUAUUUUUUGUUUUUUUGUUUUUAAUUUUAUUUGUAGUUUAAACUCAUCAUACAAUUAUGCCCAUAUGUACUAAAUCAAAUUGAUUAUGUUGCAUUCAAAUUUAAUUACUUAAUGUGUUUAAGUAGUUAGAGAAAUUGUUGACUAUAGACUUGUGCCUUAAACGAUGAUUGGGCUACGAGCUAGGCCGCUAAAUUUAAAUUGUUUGAACCUUGGGAAUGUGUUUUAAUUAUCAAUUUCAAUUGGACCACAACACGUUAGACAUUAAUCUUUCUCUCCCUCUUAGUAUAUGUAAUAUGUAGGAAUUUGUACAAAUCGGUUUGUAAUUCUUAUUACUUCUUUAUCUCUUUCAAUUAGUUGAUUCCCUCUAGUACUAGACUAGAGUUUCUGUAACUAUUGGUAAGGAGACAUAUUAAAAGGGGUUUUCAUAAGAUUAAAGAUUUGCUGGGUCCAACGCCCUGAUUAGCAAUGAAUGAUUGUCUUUCGUUUCUAAUGGCUCAAUGAAAAUGUUUUAAUUGGAUUGAAAGCGCAUAAUUAAAACGAUACAAUCUUCCCUAGAUUUUAUUCAACAAUGUUGGCUCGUUGUUGAAUCGACCUAAUAAAUUCAUAGUCAUCCAAAGAGCCUAAGAUAACUAUUAGGUCCAAAAAUAGUGGGAGCAUCAUACGCUACUAAACUAAAAUGAACACAAUUAGUAGUAAUAUAUCUUCAAUAUUUUGAAAUUUUUUUUAUAUUGAUUUUUUUUGCUAAAACGAAUAGUGGAGCUAUCAUAUGCUACUAAUUUCAUUUACUUUGGACUAGUAGUUGUAAUAGGACACAAUUUAUUAUAAUAUGCUUAAAUAAAUAAAAUGAUGAGACCUUAAAAUCCCUUAAUCAACAUCCAAUAUUAAGUUGAAAAUGGAGAGGUGCUUUGAAUACUUCUUCAUGGCCUUUCACCAUGGUAGGCUCCCAUCGUUUAUAACUCAUACACCGCCUUCACCUUAUCAUGGGGGAGUUCAAAGUAUGUGCUUAUACUCAGGAGGAGUCUUUUUCAACAUUUGAUGUGGUGAAGGUAGGUAAUGAGUAUGGCCAAUAUCAUAUCAUUGUGAGGUCAUACUACCCGAACCAGCAUGGUGGGUCAAAACUUAACUAAGAGAAAUGGUGCCAACAUCAUAUCAUUGUAAGGCAUUGUUCUUUAGAGGCCAACAAGAUGGGUAAUCACAAAAGGUUGUUGUGAAUGGGUAGCUCUACCCUCUCCUUAUUAUUUUUGCUAGCCAACAUCGUACCAUUGUGAGGUGGGCUUGGUAAUAGUGAGCCUUCCAUAACCCAUUAGGAGCUUUCUUUGAAAUCUCUCAAAUUCGAUCUUGAGGGAUAUGAGAUUUGUCAAAAAUAGUGGGUGGUGUCAUUCGGUUUAAAGACCCGAAUCGUUUGACUUAAUCAACAAUCAAACUAAUUUAUUUUAUUGUUAUGUAUUUAGAUAUGGUUGGAAGCACACUAUCAAAAAUACUUGACAAGCAUUGCCUUGAGGGGCACAAUUUCCCAUCUUGGUACCGUAAUGUUAAGAUUCUCCUAACCUUGUAGAAAAUUGUUUAAGUACUAGACAAGGCUCCACCUCACAUACCUCCUGGCCCUGAGGUCAUUGAGGAUGAGUGUGCUAAGUAUGACAAGCAUGUUGAGGAUGGUACACAAGACAAGUGCUAUCUGUUGACUUCCAUGAAUGAGGAGCUGCAGAGACAGUAGGAGGGUCUGGACAGUGCAUCCUCCAUUAUACUCCAUCUUACGGAUUUAUAUGGUGCAAGGACACGCAACCGUCGCUUCAGCACUGUCAGUGAACUUGUGAAGACCAAAAUGGUCAAAGGCGCCCAAGUACAUCAACAUGUACUGAAGAUGAUUGGACUCAUUGAGAAACUGGAGCACCUAGGUACUCCACCUAACGGGGAAUUGGCCCAGGACUUCAUCUUGGCUUCUCUUCUGAUUCGUUCUCGUAGUUCAUCAUGAACUUCAACAUGAAAAAGAUGGAUAGCACUUUCUCUGAGUUACUAAAUAUGUUAAUAAUCGCUGAGAAGACUAUGAAGAAAGAGAACGUGGUGGGGACUGGUGUGAAAAUUUACUUAACACACAAAUUAAACCCUCUUGUAUCAAUUGUAGUAAAGAAUGUAAGUAGGGAUCGUUCUGGACCGAGGAUUAGGAGGGCUUGCUAAUAACCUCUAAACUGACCUAAAAACAUAUAAACAAAGUUAAAAACAUUAAACUAGACUCAAAGAAUUCAAAACAAACUCAAAGAACUCAAAACAAGCUAAAAAACGCUCAAAUAUGCCUAAAAACACAAACUGGGCAGAUUUGGACUCUAAACACACUUUUGGACAAAUUUUGGUUUUAACUUGCUUCGAAAUACUUAGAAACACAAACUAAAUCAGUUUCUAACUAAUAUGACUCAACAAGGUAAAUGGGGUUUUGGUUGAUUGAACAGUAAACUUCACUCUUGUCGGAAACCGUUGGAUGAUUGAACAAUAAACUUCACUCUUGUCGGAAAUCGUUGGAUGAUUGAACAAUAAACUUCACGUGCUUUUUACUUCACCAGAAAUCUUCAACAGAUUGCCCGUAAUUUCCGCAAGGCUGAGUGUGCAUGUGACAGAUGCUGACACGUCUGGAAAAACGAGUGCCUCUUCGAUAUCUGGAAUCGGCGCUUCGACAAACUGCCCGUGAUUUCCGCAAAGUUGAAUAUGCAUGUGACAGAUGCUGACACGUCAGGAAAAGCAGACGCCUCUUCGAUUUCUGAGCUUGCCUCUUCGAGUUCUGAGCUCCAUCGAGUGCAGAGGUUGCAUGUGACAAGUGUGGAAAAAUCUGGAAAAGAAGAUUGGCCCGUGGUUUCUGAGCAAGCCCAGCUUUUGAGAAAACUAGCGCCUCUUCGAUUUCUAAGAUCGCUUUUUUGAUCUCUGAAAUCCCAUCGAGUGCUGAUUUUUAUAGAGGCACGCAGUACGUUUCAAAGCACACUUGAAUUUCUGCCUGUAGAAAUUCCCUUCUUGAACUUCUACGAUCUUGACUUGUACGACCUCUUCUUUCUUCAACACCUUUGAAAAUGUCUGGCCUCUCUGACCGUCGUUUUGACUUAAACCUUGGUGAAAAGGCAGCCAUGCCUUCUCCAUACAACAUAUGGCACCCAUCCUUCAUAUCCCUUACUGGUUCUCUUACCGUUGGGGAUUCGGUGAUGAAGAUUAAUAUGACCGCUGUGGUGGUGGCCCGGAACCUUGUCACUCCCAAAGAUAACAGAUUGUUUUCCAAACAGUUUGAUGAGUUGGCUGUUAAGGAUUCUCUGGCUCUCAGUGUGCAGUGUGCAGGUUAUGUGUUUAAUAUGGCCCAACGCCUAUUUGCUCGAACCCGUCAAGUGGAAUCAUUGGCGGCUGAAGUGAUGAGUCUCAAACAGGAGAUUAGAUGGCUCAAGCAUGAGAAUAAAUAGUUGUACAAGCUCGUACAUAACUAUGUUACAAACAUGAAGAGGAAGAUUGACCAGAUGCAGAAAUCUGAUGGUCAGAUUUUACUUGAUCAUCAGAGGUUUGUGGGUUUGUUCCAAUAGCAUUUGCCUUCGUCUUCUGGGGCCGUACCGCGUAAUGAAGCUCCAAAUGAUCAACCUUUGAUGCCUCCUCCUUCUGGGGCUCCGCUGACUACUGAGGCUCUGCCGACUACUGAGACUUCUCCUAAGCAGCCUUUGUGAAGGCUUCCUCUUGUAUUUUCUGCUUAAUGUUCCUUUUUUUCAUGAAAAUGAAUGUAAAAAUACCUUGCAUAUUUGUCAAUGUUUCAAAAAUAAACCCACACGAAAAACAAUUAAACAAGCAACAAAUAAAUAUGACAAUCAUGGAAAAAUAAAACUGCAGAAAAUGGAAGAUUUUUAGAAACGCAAAACUUAUUGUGGAGUGAUUCAAAAAUCUUCCUUAUUUGAAUACAUGGGUUGCCUCCCAAGAAGCGCUUGCUUUAACGUCUUCUAGCCGGACGAUACCUCCUUCUAAACUUGGAUAAGGCCCAUAGCAUGGAAUUGAUCCUUGAAUGGAAGGUGAUACUUGAUGUGAUCCGGCAAUGGUUUAAAUUCUAGUGUAGGUGCUUGAAUCAUCAAAAUCAGCAAGUUAGUAUAUAAUAAAAUUGAAGUUGAAGAAUAUGGCUUACUUGCUUGCUCCAACACAAACUUAACUACGAACACCACAUCUUUGAAGGUUGCAGGGAUAUAGGACUUGGCCAGAUUUGGUGUUUUAAGAGUUAUGACUUUUCCCGUGUCAUAAAAUCUAACUUCUUUGGGAAUUUUCGUCUCAAGUGUAUCUUUUUUGAUGAAUUCUAGACAUUCCCCAUCCACUUCUUGCUCUUGAUUCUUUGGAAAGGUUUCGAAUAUGCCUUUCUCACCCUCUUCUUCCUUGGAUUGCAUGAUCUUGCAAGGAAUAAGGACAUUUGGUGAAACGAGGUCAGGACAAAUUGAAUUUAGGCUUACCUUGGUUGUAGUGGACGGCAUAGAGGGCAUAUAGGGAUGCGGCAAAGGUGGUUCUUCCCUUGCCGUGGCCUUGUUAUUCUCCUAUUCUUCAAGCAGCAGCUGUUCAUCCAUGUUUUGGCUUGGUUUGGAUGUCUUGGGUUCACCUCCAACCUCCAUAGCACUUCCCAAAGUGAUAGCAUCAUGGAUUUCAAAAUCUUCCUUCAAAUUUUCAAUAGUUAAGUUGGAGAGUUCACUUUGCUCUUGAAUUUGUGCCAUGAACUCCAUAAUCUGCCCAAUUUUCUUCUUCAAUUCACCCGUCUUCUUGGCUUGAUUUUGCAUCUCUUUGUUUCAAUUUUCUACUUCCUGGUUCAAAGAGGUGAGUAACUUAUUAAACAUAUCAUUAUCCAUAGACGUACUUGAAUUGAAUUGGGCAGAUUGUUGUGGUGGCUGUGAUGGUUCAUAUGGCCAGUGAUAGAACUCAUCCGAUGACAGCAAAUAUUCUUCUUGUUGUGAGCCCUGCGUCAAAGAGGUUAGUACAUCAAGAAUUUCAUCAUAACUCAUAGGCAUACUUGAAUUUGAUUGGAAUUGUUGUGGAGGAGGUUGUGGUGGUUGCAUAGGUCUUGAAUAGAACUCCUCUUCUUGCUGCCAAUAUCCAUCUUGUUGGAAUUGUUGAGGUUCUCCCCACAUGUAAUCUGAAUAAUCUCUUUAAUCCGAAUUGUAAGCAUUGGAAAACAUGUUGUCCCAUGAUUGGCUAUGGCCUUGAUAACCCCAAGCAUCUUCAUUCGCAGCGAAUUGAGAACAUUGAUAAGUUGGAUAUCCUUGCCCAUAGGACACACCAUAUGUAGGGACACUUUGCAUUGUGGUCAUUUCGGCAUAUUGUGACAAUUGAGAAGUAAGUUUCGCCAAUUGAGCUUCAAUGGUAGUAAAAUCCAUGUCUUACUUCUCUAGUACCUGAAAUCAAGGAAACAAAACUAAAUCAAAUAUCAAAAGUAAAAAAAAAAAAAAAAACAGAAACAAAGUCAGUAACUAAAAACAGAAGACACGAAAAUAUACAAAAAGAAAUAACAAGGGAUUAGCAAAGUUGCUAAUCCCCAGCAACGGCGCCAAAAAUUUGGUGCGAAAAUUUACAUAACACACAAAUUAAACCCUCUUGUAUCAAUUGUAGUAAAGAAUGUAAGUAGGGAUCGUUCUGGACCGGGGAUUAGGAGGGCUUGCUAAUAACCUCUAAACUGACUUAAAAACAUAUAAACAAAGUUAAAAACACUAAACUAGACUCCAAGAAUUCAAAACAAACUCAAAGAACUCAAAACAAGCUAAAAAACGCUCAAAUCUGCCUAAAAACACAAACUGGGCAAAUUUGGACUCUAAACACACUUUCGGACAAAUUUUGGUUUUAACUUGCUUCGAAAUACUUAGAAACACAAACUAAAUCAGUUUCUAACUAAUAUGACUCAACAAGGUAAAGGGGGUUUUGGUUUUGACGAAUUUGAAAACAAAACAAGUAAAUUAAAGAACCAACGAAAUCUACAUGAAUUUGAGUAAACUGAAUGGAUGGAAGAAUAGCUAGGAGAUUCUUCUCCACACAUGACACACUUGCAAACAAAAUGAUUUCCAGUUGCUUUUCAAUAAACUACGAAUUCUCAACGCCCCAGAUUAACUGUGAAUUGCACUAAUUAACCCUCAGAUUUUCCUAAUUUCAUUGAAUUGGAUGAUUGCAUACAACAACCCAAAGCAUUCCCCACAAGUUCCCUACAUGAAUUGCAUAAUAGAGAUACAAGCAAGAAUCAUUAAGUUCUAUGAAAAUCAUAAGCAUUGACGAAACACUUGUAACUAUGAAUUGCAUGAAACUUAUGACAAGAAUUUACUUAACACGGUUGUGACGAGCAACCUUCACUACUUGUGAAUAUAAGUUCAUAACGAUUAGGUGAAAUUCCCUUAUGUCCUAGCAUUAUAUUUAUGCAUGAAAAUUAAGCGUGCACUCUCAACCAACACACAUAAAUCAGUUUUAAUUCAAAUGGAUAAGUAGAUUGAAUUCACAACUUAUGAAUCACAACUGAAAGUAAUCAAAUCAUAUUGCAAGCAUGAACAUGGUUUCGAAUUCCCCCUAGCUAAGGGAGGUUUAGUUCCUCAUACUCACAAAGCAAAGAUAAACAAUUUUAGACAUUGAAAACAAAAGAAUGAAAACACCUAAAAACGCUCCAACAAUCCAACUUGAAUGGCAAGCACGUCCAAGGGUCUUCAUUCUUCUCUUUGUUGCGGCACAAGGUGUGGUUUGAUGGAUGCGUAUGGAUAUAUGGAAGGGAAUGGUUGAAUGUGUUUAGGUUGGAUGGAGGUCACGGCAAGGAAAGGGAAAUAAAGGUGCAUGGAAUUGUGUUUUUGUUGUGGGAAUGUGUAGAAUGGUUAAGAAGAAAAGACUCUACCUUGUGGCAGAAUGUGUCUUCCUCCUUUCUCCCUAAACUGUCCGUGUGAAUGUGUCUUUCCAUGGAUCUCCCCCCCUUUUUGUUAUGGUGAAGGGUGGAUGUAUUUAUAGGCUAGGGAGAGGACCACCAUCUAAUUAAGGUGGUAGUGGUGUAUGUUGUGGUAAUAAGUGGAUGUAAUGGGUGUGGUGGAUGGAUGUUUGGUAAUGAGUAAUGGGUGUAGUGGGUGGAUGUUUGGUAAUGAGUGGAUGUAAUGGGUGUAGUGGAUGUAUGUUUGUAGUUGUAGGUCAACACACUUGCACACACACAUGCUGAUUUCUAGCCUUCUAAUCUUAAAAAACGUCCAUCCUUAUGUCUCCAUGCUUGCACUAUCCAAUCUUGGCCAAAAAAUGCUCCAAAAUGCUCCAAAUAGCACUUUGUUGCCAACUUUGUUAUUUGAACCUACAAACACACGAAAAUAGCUUAAAGUACUAAAAUAACUAGAAUUAAACUAAGUAAAUGCCAUGAAACAAGCUAACUAAGUUUCAUAAAUAUGCUCCUAUCAGGGACUUUAGUGGUAGCCUACAACAAGCCAUAAUCUUCCAAGGCUAAGCUAAAAGGCAAAGGCAAAGGAAAUGAGAAGAAGUCAUCCACUCCUAAGGCCUAAGGAGGAGUGAAGAAGAAGAAGGAAAAGGAGCCUAAGAGGAUUUGCCACCACAGUGGAAAGGACGGGUAUUGGAAGAGGAAUAACAGGCUAUACUUUGCAUCUCUAAAGGAUAAGCCACAAGGUAUGGUUUUUGUCCUUAUCUUCAAUUCUAAUUGUUAGAUCUUCUAAUCUUUAUAUUUGAUAUAAAAUGCUAAUCACUUAUGCAAUUGUAUGUAGGUGAAGGAGCCAAGUAGAAGAUGAACGAGCAAAGAAAGGAUGGAGUGAAGAGUUCAGCCCAUAGUUUUUUUGCUAACUACUUAGGAAGUUUGUUAGACACUUAAAAACAGCCUUUGAACUUUCUUAGUUUGCUAAGAACUUAUUAUUUGGCUUCAUAUGAUGGAAGACCCACUUUUGGUGCCUAUAUGAAGGUAUAUAAUCAGUCUCUAAUGUAAGAGCUAAUUCUUUUGUAUUGAACAUUAUGAAUGUUUAACUUAUCAUAUCAAUGUAAUGUGAUGAAUCCCUUGUACUAUAUUUGUUCCUCAAAGUAGUGUUAUGAAUUGAAUAUUGUCCUAUUGUAUUCUAGUUGAUAUACAAGAAAUGUAUCACUUAUAUAAUGUGAUAUCCAAACUUUGGAUCCAUCAAUUAAGGAUAGAUAUCACAUGUUGGCCAUAGAUGGAUACAAUGAAUCUUUAGAUUUGGUUCCAAUUGCCUACAUAUGAGUUCUAUAUGAAUUGAGAAAGUCUAGAGAUUCCUUUCUUGACGAAAAGGACGAUCGCAUUAUAAUGAAGUGAAUGAUACAUAAGAAAAACAUUUCUUAUAUGGUUAUCGCUUAAUUAACCACAAUAACCAAGAUCACUCUUGGUUCAGCUAGCAUUUUUGAACAACUUGGACACUCUUAAAUUGUUUUAAGAAAUGUCAAAUGUGUUUGUAAUUACAACAAGAAUGAAGUGUCUAAAUCUAUAAAAGGGGUAUAAAUACCUUAGUCACUUAAUAACAAAACAUGAACUUAGUGGAGUUGGAACAAUAAGCUUAAAAGGUUUGAAGCUACUCCACAAUGUCCGCUACCCGUAUACUUCAGAAUUGUACACUUUGAAUGUAUAAUGCGAUUUCUCAUUAAAGUCAUGAGAACCGUGGGAGGUGAGCAAAGGAUACAAACUUGAAUAUGAUUGGUUUAUAGUUGUCUAAAAAUUAGUAGUACAAUAUUAUUCUUAUUGAGCUUGUAAUUUUAAUUGUUAAAGGUCUCAAGCUCUUCAAAGCGUUAAAAAAUUCUACGUUGUGUAACAUUCUAAGGAUAACCUAUGAAUGUUGGUUUCACCAACCUAGCAUAAAAUGGUUAUAUGUUGGGAGUUGUCCAUCAUUCUCUUUUAUGAGAACAAGCUAAGAAUAAAGCAAAUGGACAAGUUGAUGAAACAAAAGGGAAUAGUUUCAAAAUGAGUCACAACAUAUUGUUUAACAACAAGACAAUCCAAUUUUGGCACCUCAUGUAACUAUAAUGCUCUAUGUGGUUUUGAUAAAGAAUUAAAUCAACCACCUAGGAGGUAUGGUUGAAUUUCUAUAUCCUUAGUUGGAUCCAUGCUUCCACUAAAUAUUUGGAUAAUUCUUAUACGACUACUUUAAAAGUCUUAAUAUGACUAAAACUUGAAGUAUGGUGUUUGACACCAUAUGUUUUAAAUGAAAGGACUUGACAAAACAAGUCACACAUUUGGUAUUAGAUCUAAAUCCAAUUUUAAUCCAAUAUUGAUGGAUUACUUAAGAAGGAAUUAUUUGUGUAUGUUCAUUUAAACAACUUGUAUUAGCUAGAAUUGUUGACUGCCUCAAAUCAAUUGAGUCAUCAACAACAAGCUAAUGGAUCUCAAAGAUUGGCAAUAGAUCCAAGACAGGUUAGUGGGAGCUAUAUGCAUUCAAAUCAAGAAAAUAUAAAUGUUAAGUUUUUUCUUAAGGUUUCAAACGAAUGCUUAGUUACAACAAGGUUAGUAGGAGUGGUGUCAUACUUUUGAGCAACAUGUUAUGAAUGAAGUGUAUUUUAUAGACUUAAUGAAAAACAGAUGUUACUCAAAAUGACAAAUUGUGACACGGUCAAUUUUGAAGUACAGAAUUAAAAAUGGACUAACAUAAAUGAAGUCAAUUGAGAAUGGACUUAAUGAUACAACAAGGAUGUCUCAAGAAUGUUAUAUAGGGAAAUUGAAUCUCAAACGUUGAAGAUUUGAGAAAGUAUUUCUACAUAUGAUAGAAAAACUACUUUCAUGACCUUUAUAACAAAUAUGUCACAAAUCACAAAGUGUACACAUGUAUGGACUUGUGAGAUGAUAUCCAAAGGUGAAUAACCAUCGAGGUUGUCACUUUUAGAUAUUGCUAAAAACCCAGGAUCAGAACCGUAGCAACUGAUAGAGUAUUGCCUUUGAGAAAGGAAUGUCAGAGUGACUCUGGAAACGUGCAUUCAUUUAGGUAAAUAAACCACAGUGACAAUAACCUAUUUUAACAAAUGGAACUUCAUGGUGGAUGAAGUACUAAUCAUAUGAAUGUAUUGUUAGUAUGGUACUACAAUGGACUCAAGGUUGGAGCAAAGUUUGUAUAAAGUAUACAAACAAAAUAUAUGUCAAUAUAUAUUAAAGUUUUAGAGACUACUUCAAAAGGUGUUUCGAAUAGACAGGCCAUGGAAUCAAGGUCUCAUCAAAGUACUUGAACACAAGGAAGAGACAACAUUAAAUGUUUUCGAAACAUUUAAAAAGUAAAUCCUUUUCUAAGUUAAAAAGAUUAAUACAUAACAUAGUUAACCUACGAGCUCACAUUCACUCGACUAGCAUCUAUAAGAUGCACUAAUGAUUGACUUUAGUGCAAGUGGGAGAUUGUUGGAGAUAUGCACUGAAAUUCAAUCUUUGGAAGAAACCUUUCAGGAUAAUGUCUAUAUGUAUAGAUAACUCUAAUACAACAAAAGGCAAAGUCAUUCAUUAGGACUAUCUCAAUAAACGAUGCACGUCCAAAGUAGUGAAUCUGUGGACAAUGGAUCAAUGGAAGAAGUCAUCUAAUGAUGUUAUACUGUAGAGACCUUCUUCACAUAACCAUAAUGUCCAAAAGGUUCCUGGUCAUAGGAUUGUCAGAAGGGCACUGACAAUACAUAGACAAGUCCAUACUAUGUCCCCUUCAAAUGGGAAGGAUGGAAAGUCUCAAGCUAUUCGUGUAGUGACACUAAGACAAGUAUGUAGGUGCUCAUUAAGGGAAUGAGUUCACUGAACACAAUCAAACAAGAGUACUUGCAUGGAGGUCUACUCACAUGUCAAGCAAGUAACUUUACUGGUUGGAAUAAUGUAAGUAAUCUUCUGCCUGAGACAUUAUAGUUAUCUUGGGAAUACGUUGCUAAUCAUUUGAUAAUGAGACGUGACAACAUCUCAUCUUGGAUGUGUUCUAUGCAUUAUUCAAUGAGUUAUUCUCAGAGGCAUGUGAAUGAUCAACAAGAGAUCUCUAAUCCUAAUUAUGAGAGGAAAAUUUUUCUAAGAUAUGAUUAGGGAAUCUUGGGUUGAAGUAUCGAGUGUAAUGAUGGAAGGUGUUCCUAUAUGACUCAAUUGAAUCAUAUAACUUAGUAUAAUCAUAUUAGGGGUUUGACAUAAAGUAUACAUACCCUAGUAAUGUGAUUGUGAGUAUUUUAUUAGAGAAUGAUCAAAUUAUAUUGUAAUUCCAACUGAAUAGGUUCUCCGACCAAAUUCUACAUUAGCUUGGGUAGUCAUGAUAUAUGGUUAGAUGUCACUCAUGGCUUGUGGGUUCUUCUAGAUGAUUAAAUAAGUAGUCAUCAAAGAAGAAAAGGAGAAUUAAAAGUAAGUUUUAAUUUACUAAGUGAUUGCAUAAACACUAAUCAAUUGGAUUGACACCAAUCACAUCACUACCUUGCUAAUUGGAACCUAAAAUGAUUAUACAUCGAUACACUCGUGUGUUGAGAAAAUUAACAGAUGAUGGAAUUAAUUAAUUGGAUUAAUUAAGUGUUAUGAUUGAUUAGAAUGUCUAAAUAAAUAUAGAGAUGAUAAAAGAUUAAAAGAUCGUUUUGGGCUUAAAGAAAAGUAUGGGUACUUUUGGGUCCAUUGGGCCCAAACCCAUUGGGCUUUUAAUUCAAGCAUAAAAAUGACUUAAAUUAAUAAAAGCCAAAGCCCAAACUAAUACACAAUGGCUGGCCAUUAGGGUGAGUAAAGGUGAGAGGGUAAAAGUUAAUUGUUAACUUACUUAUCUCACCUUUAUAUAGAAAGAUAUAGGAAAAGGUUCCUUAGGGUUUUUGUGUGAGCUUUUGCCUCAAGGGAAAACAAAAUAUCUCUCUCUCUCUCUCUCACACACACACACAAGGCCAGCCACCAAGAGGAGAAAAUAGCUAAUCAUCUCUUCUCCUUUUGGUUAUUCCAACAUCCAUGUCAAUACACUAGUGCGUGUCGAUCUUUAGAGGUUUUCUACCUUGGAGACUAGAGGAGAAUCAAAGGAAUUCCAAACCUAUCAAGGUGGAGGAAGCAAGGAGGGAGGCUAGGCUUAAGAACUUCUAAAAAGAGAGGUCUUGGAGGUGGUCACUUAUUGGACUCAAGUCAAGGUCCAAAGGUAAAAAAAAAAACAUUUCUCCUUAUACUUGUUUUUCAAUAAGUUUCUUAGAUGCAACAAAUAUGAACCUAUGCUUCUUGAAAGGGAUUUGCAUGACUAUAGCUUUGAUAAUACGCUUCUGUUGCUUAUGUAUGUUAAUUUUGAAUUGAAUAUGCAUGCUAGUCACUUGAAAUCCCACUUAAAUCUCAAUAUUUCCCUUCAAGAACAAGAUAAUCCUAUAGAUAUCUGCGUGGUCGAGACAAUACCAGACUGCUGGAGAAGAUUAAUUAUGCAGUAUCUUGAUAAUCCCAGUGGCAAACAUGACCGCAAGACAAGGGUACAUGCCACAAUUUACAUAAUGUAACAGAAUGAACUAUACCGAAAUGGUGAAGACGGUCUGUUGUUAUUGUGCCUCAACCCAAAAGAGGUGGCCCAAGCUAUUAUAAAAAUACACGAAGGAAUAUGCAAGGCUCAUCAAUCCAUACACAAAAACAUGUUGGUUGCUCCGCUGACACGGUUUUUUUUGGUCGAGCAUGUUAAAAGAUUACAUUGAAUAUGCGCGAGGUUGUGUACAAUGUCAAAUCCAUGGGCCCAUACAGAGGGUCCCGACCGAAUUACUUCACUCGGUCACCAAGCCAUAAUUGUUCAACGGAUGGGCCAUAGAUGUAAUCGACAAAACUAUGCUAUCUUCCGGAUCAGCAAAAGAUACAUGAAUACUUGUAGCAACUGACAACUUCACCAAGUGGGUUGAAGAAAAAUCAUACGCUGAGUUAACAUCUAAAGAAGUUUGUAAUUUUGUAGAAGAAAACAUCAUGACAAGAUUCAGCGUACCAGAAACAGUUAUAACGGACAACAGUACGAUUUUUACGACCGACAAGUUUAAAGAAUACACAGCAAGUUUGAAAAUUCAGCUUGAACAGUCCACGCCAUAUUACCCACAGCCAAACAGACAGGCUGAAGCAAGUAAUAAAGUUUUAAUCGGUAUCUUUAAGAAAAAUGAUAAAAGAAAAGUUUGGUAUAUGGCAUUUAAAGUUAAAUGAGGCAUUAUGGGCAUAUUGAACUUCACUCUUAUUAGCAACAGGGACAACCCCAUAUGUGUUAACUUAUGGACACGACGCGAUGCUACCGAUCGAGCUAAGCAUAAACUCGUUAAGAGUUAUCAAACAAAGCAGUUUGUUCAGUGCCGAGUAUAGUCAGGCCAUGAGGUAAAAGUUGGAGGAUUUGGAGAAAGCUCGGCUUAAUGCCUAUAACUUACUAGUGGCGCAGAAAAAGAUUGCCGAACGAGCUUAUAAUCGACAAGUUAGGCAAAAGAUUGCAAAAGGUGCAUUAGUGUGGCAAACCGUGUUACCAGUAGGGAUUAAGGAUCCCAGAUUCGAGAAAUGGUCACCAAAUUGGGAAGGACCAUAUACAUCUACAAAGUUCUCAGCAAUGGGGUAUUCCAUCUCAAGGAUCAAACUGGUUUAAUUCAUAAAUUACUGAUAAAUGGGAAAUUCUUAAAGAAAUAUUAUCCGACCACUUGAGAGAUACAAGAAUAAAGGAUUUGUUUCAUUAAUUUUCAAAGGGCAUACAUACAAAAUUACAAAAAGAAAUCAACCGGCCAACAAGUCUGAACCAAAAAAAAUCCUAGGGAGUCGAAUGAAGAAAAGCUUCAAGAGCGACUUUCAAUUCUAGCCAUUUCACUUCGCCCAUCAUAACCUCGCCCAGUCGUGCUCUUUUGUUAGCUUUUAGUUACUGUAUCCGCUUCGCAACAACCGCGUACUCUGCCAAUUGAAGUUUGUUCGACUCAAAAUCCUUUUCAAGCUCAGAAGCAACGGCUGACCUCUGACGAUGAAGUUCGACAAUUUAACGAUCAAGGUCAGCCAGUCUCUCAUUCUUGGCCUUUAUUUCCUCGAGCCCUGGUCGGAUAGCUUCAUGAGCAACCAUUGCAGCCUUAAGGUCAUCCUCUGUCCGAAGAGCCUUCUCGAAAAUAAUGAAAUAUUGUUGAGUUCUUUCUAAGACAGUUGACAGAUGAACAAAACUUUCGUUGCUUAGCAGGUCGUCGGUUGCAAGGUUGUUCAAGCACGCUUCCACAGAGUCGAGGCCUUUGUGUUGGAGGAUUUAUGAGGUCAAUAGAGACAGAAGUUCCUGCAACUUGGCAAAGGCGCUAGACUCGGCCGGGGUUGCAGAAGGCCCAGUCGUCCCCGAAGUGUUGGAGAGAAAGGCAUCAAGCUCAAUUUACCAGGAAAGCUUUAUAGAAAAGAGUUGUUAGAGAAAAAAGAAUUCAAAAAGAUGACUGGUUCGUUGGUCGAACCUAAAUAGCUUAAUGCUUGAGCCUAGUGUUUAAAACAGCUUUUCAAUUCAUGCAGCUGAUGAAGGUUAACUACGUUUGAUGGCCACUGGGGUGGUCAGGAAAUAUAAAUAACACCAUUCUGCACAUAGAAUUUUCUGUGAAAUAAGCGAUUGGGAACCUGGCAUUUAAUGCUUUUCUUGGUUUAGAGUUCUAAGGCAUGAAAUUAAUAAAAGAAAAUGAUGAUGAGUCUUAUAAAGGUCGAAAAUACCUCCUGAUGAGAGAUGCUGAGGUUCUUAUCCUGGGGAUAAACCAACGUCUUUGUCGUUGCUUCUGGCUCAACAAAAGACGCCGCUUUAUGUCCUGGACCUACUUCGGCCGCAUGGAGGUCGACUUGGCCAACUGCCUCAACCGCUAGUUGGAAAUCACCAAGAAGGGAUGCAACACGUACUUUGAGGGGAGGCCACAUCAACUUAUUUUACUCCCCAAGCGAACUCAGCUGACGAGAUGGCACGCCCCGCACACAAUGGAAUGACGUAGUUAGCUUAUUAAUUACUCGGCAUGUGCGCCACGUAGGCUUGAUAGUUUUUAGGGUCAACAAGUAAUAAGGAAGAAAGAAUCCUUACUCUCAAAGUAAUACAAUUACAACUAGGAAACUAUCUAAGAUAUCUUGUAGAAUCUUACACAUAAUCUACUAUGAUUUACAUAAUCACACUCCCAAUGAAUUUAGAGCUAUAGCCAUGGUUUUAAAAGACGCUACGCGCUAGUCAGGUGACAGGCUUGGGCAUAGGCGAAUUUAAGUAAAUUUGUUAUAUAUUAUAUAAUUUAAUUUAAUUUACUACGUAAUACAUAAAUAAACAUUGAAUAAUACGUUUUUCUAUAUAUUUUACAAAGACGAAUACAUAUAUAGUAUAAGAGCUUCAAAUACAUAACAUGGAGUGGGCUUAAAAGAAAUUAAUAAAAUAUUGCCCAAAAAAAAAAGUCAGAAAAUGAUUUUUUAUUGGCUAAAUGGAUGUGAGGUUAAUAAAAAAGAAAGUAAUAAAUUGAGAAGAUGGUGGGACUAUCUUAAAGAGAUAAAAAAAAAGGAAAAAAAAGGUGGGUCAGUGAAUAGAACUUCUUUUUCCUCGUGAUAGUCGAAUGCUACAACAUUUUUACCAGAUUUGGCGUUCUCCGCCUAGCCACCGCCAACCCUAUCUAGCCUCGCCCAGCCCCGCCUAAUCCUUCGUAGGUGUCCACCUAAUAUUGUUUCCCUAGGCAUCCACCUAAUAUGGUUUCCGAUUUAGUGACCGAUUCGAUGUAAAUAGCAGCAGUAGUCGACCGUUUAGCACUUAGGCGUCACCUAGGCCGAUUUUUAGAACAGUGACUGCAGCAGCCCCCUUGAGUGUGUAAAUACUUAAACAGAUGGUGCAUUGGAUCUUUAUGUGAUUAUGUAGAAGUAGUUGAUGAAGUCAUUGGCACAAUGAACGAAUGCAAAAAAAUGCAUAAGUAGUAAAACUUCCAAAACCUCAUUAUGGUAUAGCACAAUGUAGGAUAAAAACUCAUAUUCUUAGGAGAAAAGCAAAGUUGUAUUAAGUCAAAACUAAACUCCUUCAAACGUAAGUAGAAUGCACACAAAGGUAUGAUCAGACCAGGAUGGGUGACUCAUUAAAACCUCGUUAGGUAGCAAAAACCUAAUGGAAAAAAUGCUCACAAUAUACGGGAAAAAUAGUAUAUUAAGGUUAAGUGAGUAUACUUCUAGAUACUCCAUCUAAGUUUAACUAAACUUCCAAAUAAGACUACAAAAAUCACAAAUCAGAUAAUUUACGCAUAACAAUUCCUUGAACAAGCUUCUACAAGUAGACUUCAACAUUGGCUAGUCACAUGGUGGGCCUUCACAACUCGUAUGGUUGUAAUGUAUAAUCCAUUCAAAAGGCACUCCAUCUUCUCAUGAAUAUACUUCUGACCAUAUUCAUAGGAAGUGCAACAAAGAUAUUUAAUACCAUUCUUUUCAAUGGUUUCAGCAUGAUAGUUAUUCUCUCGAAUAUCCUUAAAGUUGAACAACGUUCUUCUAAAACGGAGUGAGUAAAAGGUCUAUUUAAUGGUUGGCUUAGUACCAUUGAAAAACAUUAUACGAGCAGUGCCAUACCUUCAAUUAGGUUAAAUGGGCUUGAAGGGGUUGUAAAAGGUGAACUUUUAGGUAUGAAGUUAGUAAAAUAAUGGCGGAUAUGUAAGAUGGUGGCAUUGUUGCACUAUCUGCCAUGCAACUAACUUCCCCACAAGACAUCCCUGGAAAGUAAAUUAAUUGAAUUGGUCACAUGUGUAAGGAAAAUUUUGAAGUCCAUUCAUUCGAUUAGUUAUUCAAGAAAUAAUAUCCAUAAGGUAAUUAUCCAAAAACAUAAAACAAAUACCAAACAAAUAAGCGAAAACAAAGGAAAUUGUUCAAAACUUAAACCCUAUGAAAUAGGGUUCGGCCACUAGGGGAAACUCGUCCAACAUGUCUAAAAGGUUCUAAUCUUCCAUUGGUACAUAUGCCUCUUGGAAAUCCAAAAUCUCCAUGGUGGUAUCUUAAGGAUUAUCCACUUGAGCAAAGUUUGUCUUAAUCUUUUGACAAUUGAAUGAUACUCAACAAUGGCUUGAGGAAAAGCUCAGCACAUGUGGGACCAAUGUUCUUUGGAACUAUAAUGGUAACACAUAUUAAGAUCAGUAGAAGCUUGAUUAGUUUGAGCUUUGUCUUUUUUCUUAGAGUUGGAAGCAUUGGGACCUAGGGAAUCGUGCUUUGGGGUCAAAUUUCCUCCCUUGGGUGGUCUUUGCUCUAUAGACCUUAGGCCUAUAUCUAAGGUUCGACCUUUUGCCACAACCCUGACGCUUCUUGCGUCCCUUGUGGCCUUGAGAUGUGGUGACAUGCGCUUCAUACACAACGCUCGAGCCAGUAGGUCUAGCUUGAUGAAUCUUCAUUAAAAAUUGGUUUUACUUUUUAAUAAGUAGUAAGACAAAGAUCAAAUCCUAAAAUUUAGUGAAUUUUUGUGCCGAAUACUAUUAUUGCAUGACAAUAUUGGUGGCAUAUAAAGUUGAAUAGGUAUUUUCUAGGAGAUUCUCUUCAAUCAAGUCCUCUUUACAGAAAUUAAAGAGUGAUCAGAUUCGACAAACUUCAUAAUCAUAUUCAUUCAUAGAGACUUGAAGUCUUGGAAGCAUAAAUGAUGUCAGUCAUAUAUAUCUUUCUGGUGAUCGAAGUGCUCUGCCAGAGCAAGCAAGAGAGUGAGUAGAUCCUUUUCAUUGAGAUAUUCAACCUACAAUGUGUCGUGCAUAUGCCUUCUAAUGAAGAUCAUAGUAAUUGCCUUGUCAGCUUCGCAAACUGAUUCGUUCAUAGCCUCUUCAAUGGUAGUCUGAGGGUUUUGGCGGUAAAGUGGAUCUUCACAUCUUGAACCUAUUUCAGGUAGUUUCUUCUUAUGACUUCGAGAGCGGUAAAGUCUAGUUUGAUACAGUUUGACAUGUCACUGCAAUUAAUGGGGCAAGAUCAUGGUCAAUAUGAUAAGAAAAACAUCCAUAGUCAAAAGUACAACAUUCGUGUUCUAUAGACAUGUUUUGGUAUAAAUUAAGCAUGAAAAACUUCAGGUUUCAUGGGUGUAUUAUUUUAUGAAAACUUUGAAUUUCAAAGGCACUAUAUUCGAAAUGACAAGUUUGAUUUAGACGAAUUGCCAAUUAAAAAAGGAUACUUGCAAGAACAUAAGAGUACAAUAGACAACUAGUGUAGUGAAUUUGGGUUGCUUUGGGGACCUAGUGUGUGUAGUUUCGGGACUAUGAAAGGAUGUCAACAAUUCAAAGGAAAAAAAAAAUAUUGCAUCAUAAUUUAUAAAAGUGUUGUGCAGGCCAAAAAUAUAUUUUUUUAUAGUAUUUAUGGACUGCAAAUCAUUAAAUUAAUUCAAUAGGUCAGGGCCAAAAAGGGUUCAGCAGUAAAAGCAAGAAAAUGCAAUGGUUCAUGCCAUAUAUGGGUUGGAUGCUUACAAGCCACGUAAAAUAGAAGCCUAAAAAAAUAGAUUAGGAAGUGAAAAAUGUACCCCAACACCCAGUUAAAGUAAAUGUAAGUCCAAAAUUGGGUUUGGACAGAGGCAGGCAGCAGCCAAGCAAGUGGCUGGGUGUGAACUGAUGAACCCAACAUGAGCUGGUGUGGGCUAGGAAAGAAAAUAGCUCAUUAAUGGGCUAUGUUUGUCCAAAAUAGUAAGCCAAUCACUUGAGCUUGGACCAACAUCAACAUUAGGCCCAAAAUAGUUUAGGCUGUUGAACAUGAAGCUAAAAUGACAUCAUUUUGAGCAUGAGCUGUAGGGGCGGCGCGACUGGCACAACUCGACUUAGCAGCACGACCCUGUAGGAUGUUUUUUAAUUUUUUUUCUCAAUGCAACAUUGCGCGGUUUUAGGUUGCGGCUCAGCUCAUGAUUAGAGUUUUUUUUUUUCUAAAUAAAAAUUUAGUUUUGCUUCUAUUUUCUUGUUUUUUUCUUUUUUCUCACACAAUUCACCAUAGCAAUACCUAAUAACAUAAUAAAAGUAUUGCAUGCAUAAACAAUAUAUACAAUUGAGCAAUUUAUGCAAUUUAAGCAAUAUGUAAAGCAACAAUAAAUUUGGGGGUCAUGUAUCGUGGUGAAUGUUUUCAUGCUAUAAGGGCUUAUAAAAUAUUGAUUUCGUAUUUUAUUAGAACUUGGAUUGGAUAGAAAUGAAGAAAAGCUUUAAAUGCUAGGAAACUAAUCCAAGUAAUACAAUUACAACUAGGAAACUAUCUAAAAGAUAUUGUAGAAUCCUACACAAGAUCUACAAGGAUUUACACAAUCACACUCCUGAUCAAUUUAGGCUGCAACAAUGUUUACCUUUCAUUUACAUUUUUGGAAGAUGUAAAUGGAAGUUUUACCCUAAUUGGAGAAAUGUAAAUUUGAGAUCCCAUUAAAUUUUGUCACUUUGAUUGGCAGGACCCACCACUAAAGGAUGUAAACAAAGAUGUAAAUCAACAUAGAUUUUUAUUUAUAUUUUUCGACCAAAAUAGGUAUUUUACAUCACUCCAUGGAGAGUUUUUAGACCAACCAGAAAUUUAAAAUACACGUUUCAAAGUAUUUUGCACCUCUUUAUUAGAGAUGCUCUCACUUUCUCUUUUGUACAUCACUUUUAAGCUAUUUUAUUCAAAGGGAGAGGGCUACGGACUGAAUGCUUGAAAGUUUAGGGUUAUACUCCUUAUCUAUUUUGUAUACUUAAUUAACCUGGAAAACGGGUUGUGUUUGUCAUGUUUGUGUCAUUUUUGUGUCAUACUUUUUAUCUUAACACACUAUGACGUGUCAAACCCAUUAUCUUAACAGGUGCCUCGUUAACCAGUCGAGUCGUUUUAUGUUGGGUUAAUGGGUCAUGUAAGAACUUGCCAUGCUUAAUAUAAUAGACCUAGCAAACGGGUCAUGUUUGUGUCAUUUACAUGUCAUACUCAUUUUCUUAACGGGUUUUUAAUUUGUGACUCGAUAACAAUCCAAAUCGUUAACAGGCUUUUAACGAGUGACCUGAUAACGACUCAACUCGUUAAUGGGUUGACCUGAAACCUGCUAUUUUUGUGUCAUCUCAUGUCGGACUAACAUGUCAUGUAAGAAAUUUGUAGACAUCAAAAUUUCGGUAAUAAAUGUUGACCGAUAAAUCAAAGUUUCAACGCUCAUGUAUUACAUAAAUUUUACACGUAGCGUGUGUCUAAACAAAAAAAUCGAAAUAAGUCGAAAAAGUCAUCAAACAGGACACGUGUCAACGCCCGGCAGAGAUGAUUUAUUUCAUCUGAUUAUUUAAUCCCAAAAAUCAAGUUUUGGAAUUCUAUAAAUAGAAGCCAAUUUCAUUCAUUUAAAAAAAAAACCAAUUCAUAAUCAAUUCACCUCACACCAAAACCUUGAAGUUUUGAAACUCCAAAGCUCCCAAGCAAAUCCUAAAGGAUCAAGAAAGCUCUCUUCGUUCUUCGUCAACCCAACCUUCAAGAUCAAGCCCUGACGGUCCUUGAAGAAAGUGUUCAUUGUUCAUCAUCUGUUCAUCCUAAGAUCAAUCCCCCAACGGCCCUUUGGAUCAACAACAUCAACAAAUCCACAUAUUCAACCGUUCUUCAAGAUAAAGCCCAAAAGCCCUUGAAGAUCCAUUCAUCAACUGUUCAUCAAGAUCAAGCCCCAAAGGCCCUUGAAGAUCCGUUCAUCAACAAUUCUUCAAGAUCAAGCCCAAAAGCCUUGAAGAUCCGUUCAUCCAUCAACCUUCAAGAUCAAGCCCAAAAACCCUUGAAGAAACUUCCCUCAACCUUCAAGAUUAAGCCCCAACGGCCCUUGAAGAAAACUUUCGACCGUUCAUCCAAGAUCAAGCCUCGACGGCCCUUGGAUCAAUCGCACAUCCACAAAUCAACACCUUACGGAGAUCGAAUCAGAGGAUCAAAUUUGAGAGAGAUUGUAACCCCUAAAUCAUUAAUACAAAUAUUAUUUUGUACACGUGUUCUUGUCUAGUUCGUUUCAGGAAUUUCCGUGUUUACAAAUUUGGCACGCCCGAUGGGAUUAUCUCUACCUCUCAUCUCUUCCUCCGUUCAAGAAAUUCAAGCACACUUCCAAAAUCAAUGGCAUCAAGGAAGGCUCAAGCUGUUCCCACAACCGACGCGAAGAACAAGAGCAUCAUCGCCGCAGGCGGUGCCAUUUCGGGCAUCAUAACUCAAAGCAAGGCAAGAGCUCUUUCUGCCUCCUUUUCCACCCCUGCAUCAACCCCGCUGAAGGAACAAGAGCACCUGAGGCACGAACCUGUGAUCACCCUGGCCUCGCUAAAGGCGCCAAGGAAGGAAAGCCUGAGGAAGUACUCCGAGUCUUUGUUUUCUGAUGCUGACUCAAGCGACAGCACAGCCAUGCAAGUUAUGGCUACCGAGCAACUUCAAUUGAGGAGCGACUAGCUCAAAUGAAUGAAGUGAUCGCAAGGCUAACACAGACUGUGGAAGAAAAAGACUCACAAAUCGCUGCAUUCGUUAACCAAUUGGAGGCACAGCACGACGAGAAACCUGAUCCACUAAAACGAUGAGCUGGCAAAGAAGAGAAGCCGGAGCCAGACCAGGCAAUGACAUUCAUGGGAUCUCUCUCUAUCUAGCAGCUACAGGAGAUGAUCGCCAGCACCAUCAAGGUACAGUACGAAGGAAGCUCGCAUGACUCUGUACUAUACUCAAAACCCUACUCCAAGAAGAUUGACGCUUUGAAAAUGCCGAGGGGUUAUCAACCGCCAAAUUUCAUGCAGUUCGAUGGAAAAGGAAACCCAAAGCAAUAUGUCGCCCAUUUCAUUAAGACCUGCAAUAACGCUAGGACAGAAGGAGACUACCUCGCCAAGCAGUUUGCGCGCUCAUUGAAAGGAAAUGCCUUUGAGUGGUACACGGACCUAGAGCCUGAGUCCAUCAACAGCUAGGAGCAAUUGGAAAGGGAAUUUAUCAACCGCUUCUACAGCACCUGCCGUACGGUGAGUAUGCUAGAGUUAACAAGCACCAAGCAAUGGAGGGAUGAGCCAGUCAUGGACUACAUCAACCGAUGGCGCAAUCUAAGCCUCGACUGCAAGGACAGGCUCUCGGAGAUCUCUUCAAUCGAGAAGUGCGUCCAAGGCAUGCAAUGGGGGUUGCACUAUAUCCUUCAAGGCAUCAAACCACGGACCUUUGAAGAGUUAGCCACCCGUACCCACGACAUGGAGCUGAGCAUUGCUCACCAUGAAAAAAAAGAGCCAAUCACCAACUUCAAGAAGGACAAGGUGUUUGUCCCAAAUGUAGAUAAAACUGGGAAGAAACCUGCCAAGAAAGCGUUCACCGUCAACACUGCGCCCAUCAAGACCUCAUCUGCGCCUAUCAAGAUCUCCUUCAAAACCUAAGCAAAUGAGAUAAAGAGAGGUAAGCCUCCUCGCACCCACGACAGGUACAAAAGCACCUUGAGGGAAUUAGAGCAGAAGGUGUACCCUUUUCCUGACUCAGACAUGGAUGCAAUGUUAGACGACUUACUGGAAAAGAAGGUAAUUGAGCUACCCAAAUACAAGCGGCCUGAAGAGAUAAAUCGCAUAAACGAUCCUAAAUACUGCAAGUACUAUUGAAUCGUGAACCAUCAUGUUGGUAAGUGCUUCAUCCUCAAAUAGCUUAUUAUGAAGCUAGCACAACAAGGGCGAAUCGAGCUCGACCUCGAAGACACGGCCGCAACACAUACUACCACAAUUAUGUUUGGAUCAUUCGAUCCCAUGCCUCUCCAAACGACACCUGACCAUUCCUAUCAUUGCUCAAGUUGCACAAUACCUUCUACCCAAUCAUCGCCAGGGGCAAGUGACCAAGAUGCACAUACUGAUGAUGAAAAAUGAUGGACAUUGGUGACCUACAAAAAGACAAGGAAACCAAAACCACAAGCCACAAGGCCGAAAGGAGAAAGCAUCGUCGCCGCAACAGUAGGAAGCCCAAAAGAAACGUAAAAGUUGUUAAGCCAACAUACGCUGGGGAACCUAUGGAGCAAGAUCCACGCAUUCCUGUCUCCUUGCACGAGUACUUCCCGAAAGACUUUUUCCAACAGUGCACUAUCGUCGCCUGUCAUAUGGUUGAAGUAGAAAUGGAAAAGCCCUCAAAAGGCAAAACUAUCGCCAUUAAGGGAGAAAAAACUUUCACGUUCGGAGAAGGUAUGCCAACACACUGUAGCAUCGAGGAAGCGCUACAAUUUGAAGGAUGAUUUUGUGAAAACAUGUUCAUUUGAAUAACAUCUAUAGCAUGCAUUUAACAAUUAAAAGGCGGAAUCAUGCUUGUAUGCAUUCAAAAACAAAACAUUACCCAUGAAAUUCAAAGCCUAGUAGAUUGGUGAACCAAGACUCAACUCAAAUCAAAGUGAGUUGAGAAAUUAUACCUUUGUAGAUUCCUCUUUGCAUAAGCAAAGGCUAAUCACCCAAAGAGAGGGCCUUCAUUCCUUGCUUCUUAGAUCCAUGGAUUUGGAUGGAAGAAUAUGGUUCUCCAAGUUCCCAAAAUUGAGAACCUCUAAGUGUCUACACCAAGGUUAGAUUGGAGAAGAAAUGAGUGACCUUGGAGGAGUGGGAUUGCUAGCUAAUCCCUCCAAGGGGGCCGGCCUCUUUAGAGAGAAAUGAGAGCUUUGUGUUCUCUCCAAUUUCCUAAAAGAAACCCUUAAUGAAUUUUAGGCUAUAAAGUUCUUUAUAUAGUCACUUCUUUAAAUGACCUAAAGAACCAAAAACCCUAAUUCAACACACAUGGCCGGCCACAUAAGGGAUUUGGGCUUUUGGGCCUUUGUGAAUCUUUAUUCAUUAAAUUGUCAUACAACUUAAGUCAAUGGGCUUGACGUUCGAAGCCCAUUGGGCCUUAAGGUCCAAAACUAUCCCGAGGUCUUUAACGAACUUAUUCGUUUGAUUAAUUAACAUAUUAAUUAAUCCUUGCCAUAAAUAAUUAAACCAUUUAAUUAUUCUUACUCAUCUCCAUUGUUUCUUCAAUCUCCACCUUACACGGUGUACGAUCCAUUAGGUUCCUUUUAGCGAGGCAGUGGGCGAUUAAAACUCUUUCAAAUCGAUUGUGAAUUGAAACUUACUUUCAAUUCUCCCUUUAGUGUUUGUACACGUUUAGGGCUUCCACAAACCAAGAGUGACACCUAGCAGCAUAUCAUGGUUACCCAAGCUAAUCAGAAGAGGUAGAGAACCUAUUCAGUUUAGGAUUACAAAUGCAAUACAGUCUUUCUCUAAUACAAUACUCUUGACCACAUUGUUUGGAUUGAUAGUUUAUUCAUGUCUACUAUCCAAUGUGAUUCGUGUGCUUAUAUGAUUACCUUGAAUGUGAUUUGGAAUGACUUCCUAAAUCUCAUUCAUACUCUGGCCAGAGAUUCUUAAUCAUAUCAUAGAGUAUUCUCCCUCAAACAGUUUGAAGGUUAGAGAUCCCUUGUUGUGCAUUCACUUGCCUCCAUAGCUAAAUGGCUUAACCCCAACUAUGCCGUGGACACCCUCCUUUUGGAGUGACUUUUGACAUAAUCAAAGAUCAAGGACUUAACCACAAGACAACUAUGAUGCCUCAGGUCAAAGGACUACUUUGCAUUAUCCCAACCAUGAGUUCUCAUGUGACAUGAAUAUGAGAACUCUUCGUUGAUCGUGUUUAGUGAACUCAUUCUCUAUUGAGCACCUACGUACUUGUCUUGAUGUCAUACACACCAAUGACUCGAGACUAGUCACUCUCCCUGAGAGAAGACACAACACGUACUGAUCUUAACGGACUGUCAAUGCCCAAUUGGCAAUCCUAUGAUCAGGAACAUUUAGGAUGUGUCUACGAAAGAAUAGUCUCAUGAAUCUAACUUCUUUAGAUCGCAUUCUCCCAAUCACAUAUUCCUUGGACUUAUCGUUUAAGCAUAUAACAUUUAUAUGAGACGGCUCAAACAAUAAUCUUUGCCCUUGAUAUUAAACUAGAUUAGUUUAACAUGUGAAAUGUCCGUAAAGUAUCAUCAUAUGAUUGGUUUUAGGGCACAUUUCCAACACAAUUAUGAAAGAAGAUACGAAGGGCACUGGCAGCGGUUUUGGCAAGUCCAAACGACCACAAAGUGCAAGAAAUCAAGAACGAAGGCUUGAGGCUUCGGCCACAUGAGUGUGCCACAUGCUGUGCCGCUGAGGACACAAUCCACUUCAUCGAUGAAGACUUGCUGCUAGGAUCCAAGCCUCACAACCGUCCUCUCUUCGUCUCUCGGUACGUAAGGGAGCACAAAGUCAACCGCAUGCUUGUGGAUGGUGGAUCAACCAUAAACAUCAUGCCAAAGUCAACAAUGACUAAAAUCGACAUCAAGGCGGAUGAACUGUCCCUAAGUUGUCUACUAAUCCAAGGUUUUAAUCAAGGGGGACAAAAAGCGAUAGGCAUGAUUCAAGUGGAGAUGACUAUUGGUGAACUCAAGUCAAGCACAAUAUUCCACGUGAUUGAUGCAAGAACUUCCUACAGCUUGCUCUUAGGAAGGCCUUGGAUCCAUGCGAAUGGAGUAGUACCGUCCACCCUUCACCAAUGCUUAAAAUUCUACCGAGAAUGAGUGAAGGUGAUCUAUGGCGACACCAAACCAUUCACCGAAGCUGAAUCACAUUUCGCAGACACCAAGUUCUACAUGGAUGAAGACAUGGUGCCUGAAGCUCUUACAAAAGAGAUCAAAUCCAUGGGCAAAGCAACACCAAAAAAGCAAGAGUGGCAAGCCAUGCCCAAGAAGCAAAAAGGAUAAGCUAUGCCAUCUUCAAGCAGGAACGAUGAUGAGCUUGCUAAACCUGCAACAACCAAAGAGAGUAGGACGCCCUCAAAUGGACCAAACACACCCGUCUUCCGAUACAUCCCGAUGUCGAGAAGAAAGAAUGGUCAAUCUUUGUUCGAAAUUGAAGCAACCAAAGCCGAUACACAGGGCAUAAGGAUAAUGUAAAGUUGUUCAAGACGAAUGCAGUUUUGCCUCUGACAUAGCUAGGCAACGCUAAGGCUGCAAAACUACCACAAGGCUUUCUAAAAGCUCUACCAAAGGGGGUGGAACCAAGCUUUCUCCCAACCAAAAGGACCGAAGAAGGUUUUGAUCCAAACGCCUACAAACUCAUGUCGAAAACUGGGUACGACUUCGUUCUUUCUUCGAAUCCUGGAAAGAAGGUUUCAAACACCCUCAACGACAAAGAACGUGACCUCACUGAGACUCAAAAGAAGUUGAAGGAGCAUGAUUACGGAGUUGACAACAACAAAGCUGGACUUGGCUUUACACCAAAUUCACCCAUGAAGAUUUCAAGCAAAGCGAAAAAUGCUAGCACUCAACACAUCAGUGUGAGCAUUAAACAAGAUCAAGAGAAGCCUAAAUCUGCCCCUCGGAUGUCAGUCUUCGAUAGGAUGAAUCGUUCAAAGCCCAGAACGUCAGCACUUAAUCGCAUUGGUGGUCAAAACCGAACCUCUGUCUUCAAGAGGCUUAACAUGCCAACAUCCCAAAGCUUUGUUUUUGAAAGGUUGUUAAAACCUAAGAAGCAAAGCAACACGGCUAGCUCUCAUCCUCGUCGAUUAGUUUUGGAAAGACUUGAAGACAGCAAGAAGCUUUCUAGAAAUAGGGAGACAAUGUCAAAAGAAGAAAAGCUCGACAAGCUAGCAGAAAAAGGCGAUAUUCGAAGCUCAAUUCCUUCAAGGAUGAAGCGCAAAGCAAUAUUGAAGGUUGACACAAAUGGACGACUGAAAGUAAGAAGGCGUACCAUCAUCCACACUGGACAAUUUUCAUGCCAACAAUCCCCAGAGGACGGCACUGAAAAUGAGGUUCAAGACGCCUUCCACAUCACGAUCCAAGAAGGCAAAGAAGACGAAAUCCCUGAAAAAAAUGUCAUUGCUGUGCCAUCACAACUUGAGGAUGGGGGGCAAGCCACGGUUGAUGAUCUCAAAGAGCUCAACUUAGGCAUAAAAGAGGAGCAGAAACCUAUCUUCGUAAGUGCGCUGCUAAGUGCGGACGAGAUAAAGGAGUAUUACCAACUGUUAUCAGAGUACAAAGACAUCUUUGCUUGGACCUACAAGGAAAUGCCCGGCCUUGACCCUGUCAUCACUGUGCAUCAUCUUGCAGUCAAGCUUGGAACGCGACCGAUAAAGCAAACUCAAAGGCGCUAUCGAUCCGAGCUCAUUCCACAAAUCGAGGCAGAGAUUGACAAGUUAAUCGAAGCAGGCUUCAUUCGAGAGGUGCAAUACACCAAGUGGAUCUCUAACAUCGUCAUCGUCCUUAAGAAAUCUGGACAAAUACGUGUUUACGUAGACUUCCGGGACCUCAACAACGCUUGCCCGAAGGAUGACUUCCCUUUGCCAAUCAUCGAAAUCAUGGUGGACACAACCACUGGCCACGAGGCACUGUCAUUCAUGGACGGCUCUUCUGGAUACAAUCAAAUUCGUAUGGCUCUCGAAGACGAGGAACUAACAGCAUUCUGCACUCCAAAAGGUAUCUACUGCGGUCAUGCCCUUUGGUCUAAAGAACGCUGGAGCUACAUAUCAACGUGCAAUACAGAAAAUCUUCAAUGACAUGCUACACAAAAAUGUGGAAUGUUAUGUAGACGAUGUGGUGGUCAAGACAAAGAAAAGAUCAGAUCACUUGAAGGAUUUACGAAUAGUGUUCGAAAGGUUGCGAAAAUACAACCUCAAGAUGAACCCAUUAAAAUGUGCGUUUGGCGUCACCUCCGGAAAGUUCCUAGGCUUCAUUGUCAAGCACCGUGGUAUUGAACCCAUCAGACGCUUCAUCUCCAACCUGGCAGGGCGUUGUCAACCAUUCAGCUGACUCAUGAAGAAGGAUGUUCCGUUUGUAUAGGACGAAGCAUGCCACAAUGCUUUUCAAAGCAUAAAAAAGUAUCUGUCAAGUCCGCCUAUCUUGGGGGCGCCUGUGCCCAGGAAACCACUCAUAUUGUACAUCGCCGCUCAAGAACGUUUAGUUGGAGCACUCUUGGCACAAGAGAAUGAAUCCCAGAAAGAAUGAGCGCUCUAUGCCUCAGCCGAAAUCUCACCGGCGCCGAGUUAAAUUACUCCCCAAUAGAAAAGAUAUGCCUUGCCUUGGUGUUCGCCAUCCAGAAGCUCAAGCAUUACAUGCAUGCUUACACUAUCCACAUGGUUGCUAAAGCUGACCCGGUCAAAUACGUCAUGUCCAAACCAGUCUUGACAGGGCGACUCGCUAAAUGGGCAUUGCUUCUCAAUCAAUAUGAGAUCAUAUACGUCUCAGCUAAAGCCAUCAAGGGGCAAGCGCUAGCAAACUUUCUUGCCGAUCACCCAAUCCCAGCUGAUUGGAAAAUCUUAGACGACUUGCUUGACGAGGACGUGUUCUACAUCGACAUCUUCCCAACAUGGAGGAUGUUCUUCGACGGAUCUGCACGAGCGGACGGAGCGGGGGCAGGAGUGGUAUUCAUGUCGCCACAAAGGCAAAUACUACCUUAUUCCUUCCAACUAAGCGAAUUAUGCUCCAACAACGUCGCUGAGUACCAAGCAAUGAUCAUUAAGCUCCAAAUGGUGAUCAACAUGGAAAUCAUAGCCUUAGAGGUAUAUGGCAACUCCAAGCUCAUAAUCAAUCAACUCUUGACUGAAUAUGAGGUGAGGAAAGAUGAUCUUGUCCCAUACUUCUGACUGGCAACUCAAUUGCUACGAAGGUUUGAGGCUGUAAUGCUAGAACAUGUGCCAAGAAAAGAAAAUCAAAUGGCAGACGCUCUUGCCAACCUAGCCUCAAGCAUGACAUUAGGAGAAGACGAAGUCGCAGACGCGCCAGUCUGCCAAAGAUGGAUGAUCCCCCUUGUCACUGAAAUGCUACUGAAUGAUACAUAUGUCAUCUCAGUACUUUCAGUUGAUAUUGAAGAGUGGAGGCAACCGUUGAUCGACUACUUAGAGCAUGGAAAACUUCCAGAUGAUCCUAGACACCACUCCGAAAUACGUCGAUGAGCACCUCGCUUCCUCUACUACAAAGAAACACUCUAUCGGCGCUCUUUCGAAUGCGUACUUCUGAGAUGCCUAGGUGAGGAAGAAACCAAUCAAGCCAUGGAAGAAGCACACUCAGGCGUAUGCGGGGCGCAUCAAUCUGGACCAAAGCUACAUUUCCAGCUCAAGAGAAUGGGUUACUACUGGCCAAGCAUGGUGAAUGACUGCCUGGAACAUGCCAAAAGGUGCCAAGCCUACUAAUUCCACGCCAACUUCAUACAUCAACCACCUGAGCCAUUACACCCUAUAGCUGCUUCAUGGUCAUUCGAUGCAUGGGGAUUGGACGUCGUAGGACCAAUUGCUCCAAAGUCAUCUGCAUGAGAAACUUACAUCCUAGCUGCAACAGAUUACUUCUCCAAGUGGGCUGAAGCCGUACCCCUAAGGCAAGUAAAGAAGGAAACUGUUGUCCAUUUCAUCAAGGAGCAUAUCAUUCACAGAUAUGGUGUGCCUUGCUACAUCAUCACCGACAACGGAAAACAAUUCUCCAAUCGACUCGUAGAUGAGCUCUGCGAGAAAUACAAGUUCAAGCAGCACAAGUCUUCCACGUAUCAUGCUCCGGCCAAUGAUCUUGCGGAAGCAUUCAACAAAACAUUGUGCAAUCUCCUAAAGAAGGUGAUCGAUCGAACAAAGAGAGACUGGCACGAAAGGAUAAGUGAGGCACUUUGGGCAUAUUGUACAACACAUAGGACUCCAACCCAAGCUACACCUUAUUCUAUUGUAUAUGGCGUGGAAGUUGUUCUACCGCUCGAAAGUCAAAUCCCCUCACUAAGAAUGGCUAUACAAGAAGGCUUGAUUGAUGAAGAGAAUGAAAAGUUGCGCCUUCAAGAGUUGGAAGCACUCGACGAAAGAAGGCUCGAAGCUCAACAACACUUGGAAUGCUACCAAGCACGGCUAUCCAAGGCAUUCAACAAGAAAGUCCGCCCAAGGUCUUUCCAAACUGGAAAUCUCAUCCUCGCAUUGCGUAGGCCUAUCAUCACAACUCACAAGACAAAAAGCAAGUUCACAUCAAAGUGGGACGGACCAUACGUAAUACAAGAAGUCUACACCAACGGCGCCUACUUAAUCAUGGCAGAAGACGACUUGAAGAUCGGCCACAUCAAUGGCAGAUUCUUGAAGCGCUACUACCCUUAAAACAAACGCCAUACUCCUGGCCCGCAAGAGUAUAAACUGCGCACGGCACAAAAAAAAAAGCAUUUGAACUACGUUAUGACUUGAUCCCUCCUCAACCGAGGGUACAUAGGCAACUUGAAACGUCAAAACUUCAAGUAUAGUCACACCAUCUAAAAUAAAUAAAUAAAUAAAAUAUAAAUAUAAAUAAAAACACUUUGAAGAAUGAAGAGCAAAUUCAAAAAUGUAAAUACUUUAUUUCUUUAAAAAAAGGAGUCGGCUCCAAAGCCUGAUUACAAGAAAAAAACAGAAGAUACUACUUGAAAACUAUGUCCCUAAAACUGCGAAUGCGAUCUUCAAACAAGCCUUCCAAAGUCUUCAAAGUCUUUACCUUGGUGGGAGACAAGAUGGGCAACUCCAUAGUCAUGCCUUUCUCUCGUUCUAAGCGUGAAAUCUCCUCUUGGCAUUGAGAAAGUGUAGUUUCCUGCUCCGCGAGAACACUUUCGAGUCGCAAUGCUUCGAUUACCAACUGCUCUCGCUCUUGCACCAACACAUCUAAACACACCUGGACAGAAGUUAAAGAAGUCUCAACUUGAUAAUCUCCCGAAGCAGCUUGCUGAAAAGACUGGACUUGAGCCAGUGACAAGUUUAUUGUUGCUAGCUGAUGAGCUCUAACAUCUGGGCUCAACUUCUCCAAGGAAAUAGCACACAAGGAAGAAUACUCAGUCGAGACGGUCAUAAGUUCGGCAAUCUUGAUCUUCAAGGAUGAAUAAUCAACGUUAAGGUUGUCAAUCACAGAAACAAGCUUCGACAAAUCCUCAUUGAGCAACGUAAGGUCUUCCAACGGGCACUUAGAAAUCCUUUUCUCUAUAUGGCUCUUGAUAUCCAUUACCGCACCAAGACUGAUGCGAUGGAUGACUUGCUCAGUACCGCUAAGGUUCGGCCCUCUCAAAGAGAUCUCAAAAUUAGCUGGCAAAGAUGUUGGACGCAUGGUGGGUUCUUGCAUACUUUCACCUACACAUGGAAAACUCGGGAAGUUCGACGGAUUUGGAACAAGCUCUGCACCAGGCGGAUCCCCAAUCUCCCUGUCUGGAGGUAGGUCGCCUGCAAAUAGCAUAUCUAUAUAGGAAUAAACAUCUGCAUUUUCCAAAUCAGAAGGACGAGAAGGCCCAACCUAAAGAAGACAAAGAAAGAUGUUAGAAACGAAAGCCAAAAUAAUGAAAGUAGAAGAAAUCACGAGAGAAAAUGAAGUACAUACAUCUCUCUCAAAUGGCUCACGGUCAUCGAAUUGAGGAGGUCUAAACAUUUCUUUCUUCUUAUGACGAAAAUUGACAUCGCUGUCAACCUGAGCAUCCUCAAGUGGUUGUUUGUUUGAAACUUGUUGACGCUGCUGCAAAAUAAAUCCAUCUUCGUGCGAGUCAACUUCAUCUCCUGCCUCUUCAGAAGCAUCCGGAUGUCGAGGAGACAAGCAUGGGCGUUGAAGAGCUAAAGCUACAAGUCUAUCUUGUAAGGGAGCCGCACUCGCGCAAUCAAGAUGCACCAGUCGCAUAGGAACCACAUGACAACCUUAUCUUGACAUAGCAUCGCCUGAGUGAGAAGAAUUGGUACCACUUACCAUCCCCAAGUUCUUGUAAUGUGUCUUUGACCACAAACGUGCGUAAACACGGGUCACUGGAUUACUCUUGAACUCAUCCUUGGCUAGCAGCGUGAUAACAACAUUUGUGAAUGAACGGGUACAAGACUCCCAAUGCAUGUACACGGCUUGCAGGGAUGCCGAUUGGUUCUUUUCCUUCAGCUUGCCUGGCACAUUUUGGACAAAACCGAAUUGCCUGCUGAAACGGUGGGGACUAUAUGGCUGAACAAUGCAUCGGUCUUCUUGCCGCAAAGAAACAAACCCCGAGCGAAGACUUAUAAGAUAAGUCCGAGAAGUGGAGAUGCGAAUUGUCCACGAUGCCUCGCUGCACCAAGCCAAGUCUCGCUAAAGGGUCUAUCCUCAAAUCUUCAUAACUUUUAAAUAGCGCUCGCGCCUGCAAAUCAUCAAGGCUCUUUGCGGAGAGCACACCAGAAUACUUCAUCAUCAAAGGCCCCAGUUUGGCUCCAGUCGAUGAAGAAGACCUUGACUUGUCUAGAGUCGACAAAGAAAAAUGAGUGCCAAAAUAUUAACCCAACCAACCAUACACAUAGUGGUAAGGAAGCACCGCAGCACGAUCUUCAGUGCUUGCCUAGUCCGAGACAAUGCUCAAGCCAUUGUAAAUGUUGGCUAAGACCGGAAUAGCAAGGCUAAAAGACUCACAUGCAGCCAUCUUGCUAGCAACUUUGAAAACUCCAGGAUGAACUAAGUUGACGUCGCCUGCAGGGAAAACAAACUUACAAAGCCAACAAGCUAAGAAAGCAGUUAGGUAAGACUCAUCCACAUGCUCUGAUGCUAUGCCAAGAUCCUCAAACGCUCUCAACUCGUCAGAAAAGCAACGCCUGGUUGAGCCAAUAACACCGGACGGGUCUGAGUCUCCCUUUGGCCUAGUGGUCUUAUUAAUACCAUUUUUCUUCAAAGGCUUCUUAUACCUCAUGGCCUUCUAGUACCAAAAUCGGAUCCACGAGGAAAUCAUCACGCCUGAUUUACCUUGAGCAUCCUGAAAAAGCUUAUGAUACGCUCAAAACAAAUAGCGGCAACUCGUAGGCAAUCCUCGGCUAUUGCAAAGAGAAAGUUCCUCCGCGCUAGGAACAACCUCGUCGUACAACCUACCUUGGAUCGGCAAGCCUCCUAUCCUGUGAAGAUCCCAAAGUGAAAUUAACAUAUCCCCUUGCGCCGUGUGAAGUGUGUUGGUCGCUGAACACCAACGCUCAAAGAACACAUGAAUGACGGAAGGAUGGCAAUCAUAACUAAACAAAGAUACGUACACAGCGUGGUAAAGGCCCACGUUAGUAAGCACAUCUUUAGAUCGGCUUAAGACAUCUUCAAGCCACUCCCAAUAAAACUCAUCAAAAACGGCCUCUCCAGCAGUCGACAGGGUACCAUUCCAAGCCAUAGCUCCGCUGCGGAUGUGAUCACCAAGAAGCUUAAACGUGGCCGAGUGAUUGUCACCAGCAUGGUGCGAAGGAUUCAAGAUAAGAAUCUUCAAGAUGCACGUCUUCUUCUUCGUAUCUGGUUGAACAGAAUCUACCACCUCCCAAGAUACUUCGGAAGACCACGACUUAAUAUGCAUGGAGUUAUCUUUUACAGGAAGGGCAAGCGCCUUCGGACCAGUUAGUGGCUCGUAAAACUUCAACGUUGUUCCUCUAUCUUGCGAAUUGCCUGCCUUCGCAAGAAUGGUGAUGGUGCUGCUCUUAAAGCACUUCAAAAAUACCAUGACCUCGAAAAAAAUCAGCCACAAAACUUGAGCAGCACGGCAAAGAGGGCAGUUACAAGACAGUCCUUCCAAGCGGCGGUAAAAGGCACAUCAAUGUCACCACCGAGGAAAGUUGUGACCAAAAGGCAUUACACAGUAUAAACUCGCUGCAGUCUCUUGCACAGCUCCACACGGUAGCGCACCACCGAGGGAAAAAAACUAUGAAUAAAAGGCACUACACAGCGAAGCCCCGCUGCAGUCUCUUGCACAAGCACUAGGCAGCAAGUACACCCACAGCCUGUUACCACGUCUCUAAAAAAAGAAAAAAACUUCACGAGGGUCCCGGCAUCAAACUCUACUUCCUCAAAAUUAAAGAUUCCCUGCAUAACAACAAAUCCAUCAGUGGGGUACACACAUUAUGUGUAUAAAUACACACAUUAUAUUAUAUAUAUAUAUAUAUAUAUGCGGUGAUGUGGUGUCUAUAUAUAUAUAUAUAUAUAUAUAUAUAUAUAUAUAUAUACAUGUGUGCGGUGGUGUGUGUAUGUGUAUAUAUUAUAUAUUAUAUAUGUAUGGUAAUGGGACAAUCAACGUCCAUGCGUAUGUAUAUAUAUAUAUAUGUACAUGUCAAAAUCAUGCAAAGGCUCACCACGUAAAGGGCUUCACAAAAGAGUUUGCUAGCUUUCCCUCUUCCCCGAUUUCCACCGACAGCAACAACAACCACCGCCGUCUCAAUCACAGCAAAGUCAAUAAGGUCAUCCAAACACUACUAUUUCAAGUGGUUUUUCGUCGUCCCAGAAGCAUUUGCAAAAUCAGCAGCAGAGACCACAUCCAAGUGUUGUCAAUAGCAGCAGCAGGAGCUUGCAAAGCUUUCCUUCCUCAAAAAACCAACCUUCGCAAGCAAUACAGCUGCGACAACAGCAACCGAAAAACCUGCAUGCUUUGCGUCAACUUGAAACUGAAAUGGAUGGCGAAGACAACCCAUGCACUCCGUGACUCGAAUGAGUUGGAAGGGAAACUGGGUACUUGUUCUAAAGCCUUACAAGAAGGCUUAUUUAUACACCACAGAAAUUGAGGAAUUUGAUCAACGUUACAGAGCACAUGCAGGGAAUGAUGGCGCUCACACACGCAAGCAGCCUGCACAGAAGUCUUUUGUUAAAAGCUGGGAAAAGCUUUAACAAAAGGGUUUAGGGUUUAGGGUUUAGGAUCGAUGAGAAAUCUGAGCAGGGCCUCGAAGACCUCGAGGACAAUCUCUCACUCUCUCACGCUUCGACAAGAAAAUCUUCCAACAACCACCACGACUGCAACAGCCAGCUUCUCUCAGACAUCUUCUCUCUCAUAUAUAUAAAUGUACUGUUGUUUCGUGCAGACGUUGAAGUCGAUACAUGUGCAGAGCUCGAGUCGACGAAGAUGCAUGCGGUGGGGAGACAGAUGUUGUGAUCUAGUUCGUUAAUGCACCACCACCAUCUUCAGUACUUGGACCACUUCACAGACGCGUCGUCCAAGAGGCUGCAGUCCACCAAUCUGUCACAAGACUUCAAGCUGCACAUGAGGGAGGUGAACAUGCAUAUGGAGGCCAGCGAAGAGAAUCAUUUGAACGUGAAGCACUGUGAGCAUGCAUGUGGAGGCCAGCGAAAAGAAUCAUGAGGGGAACACAUGCAGUGCAAUGCAAAAGAUAAAGAAAAAGAAAAGGAAGCACCACCGAAAGCCAAAAAAAAAAAAAAGAUAAUAAUAUAAAAGAAUGAUGGUGCAUCUGGCACCAUGUGAAAAUAUAUAUAUAUAUAUAUAUAUAUAUAUAUAUAUAUAUAAUGGAUUGUGCAUCUGGCACCAUGUGCAAAAAAAAAAUUAUAUAUAUAUAUAUAUAUAUAAAUGAAUGGUGGAUCAGCACCAUAUGAAAUAUAUAUGUAUAUAUAGACACUAAAUGAAAUAAAGCUUAUUUAUUGAUAUUUCCGAUAAGUUACAAAUAUGAACAUAUACAUGAAUCAAAAUAAACAAACAAGAGGGAGCCUUCACAAAGGUUGCUCAGAAGAAGUCUCAGCGGUCGGCAGAGCCCCAGAUCGAAGAGGCACCAAAGGGUGAUUAUUCAAAGCCUCAGUACUAGGCAGAACCCCAGGAGGAGAAGGCACUGAAGGUUGAUCAUUUGGAGCUUCAUUACGCGGUAUAACCCCAGAAGACAAAGGCAAAUGUUGUUGGAACAGACCCACAAACCUCUGAUGAUCAAGUAAAAUCUGACCAUCAGAUUCCUGCAUCUGGUCAAUCUUCCUCUUCAUGUUUGUAGCAUAGUUAUGUGCGAGCAUGUGCAACUGUUUAUUCUCAUGCUUGAGCCCUCUAAUCUCCUGUUUGAGACUCAUCACUUCAGCCGUCAAUGAUUCAACUUGACGGGUUCGAGCAAAUAGACGUUGGGCCAUAUUAGACACAGAACCUGCACACUGCACACUGAGAGCAAGAGAAUCCUUAACAGCUAACUCCUCAGACCGUUUGGAAAGUAGUCUGUUAUCUUUGGGAGUGACAAGGUUCCGGGCCACCACCGUAGCGAUCAUAUCAUUCUUCACCAUCGAAUCCCCAACGGUAAGAGGACCAGUAGGGGAUAUGAAGGAUGGGCGCCAUAUGGUGUCUGGAGAAGGCAUGGCUGCCUUUUCACCUAGGUUCAAGUUAAAACGACGGUCGGAGAGGCUAGACAUUUUCAAAGAUGUUGAAGAAAGAAGAGGUCAGACAAAGUCAAGAUCUUAAAAGUGCAAGAAGGGAGUUUUUACAGGUAGAAAUUCAAGUGUGCUUUGAAACGUACUGCAUGCCUCUAUAAAAAUUAGCACUCGACGGGAUUUCAGAGAUCGAAUAGGCGAGCUCAGAAAUCGAAGAAGCCAAAUUCAAAAAUCAAAGAGGCGCUAGCUUUCUCAAAAGUUGGGCUUGCUCAGAAACCACAGGCCAAUCUUCUUUUCCAGAUUUAUCCGCACUUGUCACAUGCAACCUCUGCACUCGACGGAGCUCAGAACUCAAAGAGGCGAGCUCAAAACUCGAAGAGGGCAAGCUCAGAAAUCGGAAAGGCACUUGCUUUUCCUGACAUGUCAGCGCCUAUCACAUGCACACUCAGCCUUGCACAAAUCACGGGCAGUUUGUUGAAGCGCCGAUUCCAGAUAUCGAAUAGGCACUUGCUUUUCCUGACGUGCCAGCGCCUGUCACAUGCACAAUCAGCCUUGCGGAAAUUACGGGCAAUCUGUCGAAGAUUUCUUGUGAAGUAGAAAGCACGUGAAGUUUACUGUUAAAACAUCUAACGGUUGCCGACAAGAGUGAAAAAAUAGUACCGGUUAUUAAUUCCUAUCCCUCCAUUGCAAGGAAGACAUACAUAACAUUUCUUCAUCUCUGAGAAUGCCUUCCCAAUGAAGCCUCUCGAGUCACUCAGUGUUCCUUAUUCCUUGGGGUACCUCUGCAAACAACUCAUCCAAAGCAAAAGUAUUUCAUAUCAUGAGGGUUGAAAGCAAGAGUAUCUCAUAUCAUGCUUUCUCCCUGUCCUUCUCCUUGUCGUUGUUUUCACCUGCAGGACAAGAAGAAAGAAAGCAAUCAGCCAGCACUUGGUAUCAAUCUUCCAAUCUGGAACCGACUGCCUGGAACCCCUUCCUGAUUGCUUACCUAGCCGUGCUCUCGAGUACUCAUCUUCAACAUCUUAUGCUUUCUCUUCGUCUACCACAUCUGCCUGGGGAACAGUUAAGGGAAGUGAAAAUGAUACCUCGAAGCAUAUGGAGACAAUGUGCUAAUUCAUCCUCAGCUAGGGACAAGGAGAAAGAAAGCAAAUGGUCGGCACUUAGAAAGAUUGAAAAAGGAAACAGACCAUCACUUCUACCUCGUGUCUGCCUGCCGUGCAGAAGAAACAAGCAGAGAAUAAUGUAGACUGCACAUUCAAAUCAACCCAGCAGAAUGAGUCUGAUUUGAAACCAAGGAACUCUUAUAUCCCUCGCUCAGAAUUCCAAACCCAGUUCAAAAGAAGCUGUGGAAAGUCAACAAUCGGAGGAAGCCAAAAGAUCCUCCAACCCAGUUCAAGAUCAAAGUUGUGGAAAGUCAACAAGCGCAACAAAAUACGUGCCGAUUCAUCCACUACCAAAGCCAAAGAUCAUCUACCACGUGAAGCUCCUUGUGGUCCAAUUUCAACCUUCAAGAACAAGCCUCGACUGCCCUUGAAGAAAUUUCAAACAAAAGUUCAAGAACAAGCCUCAAGGGCCCUUGAAGAAAUCUUCAGCCCAAUUCAAGAUCAAGCCUCAGCGGCCCUUGAAGAAACUUCCAAUCCAUUUCAAGAUCAAGUCUUGAUGGCCCUUGGAUCAACAUCUACAAUAAGGGACUUCAAAACGCAUCUCCUACACGUGACAAGCACAUGUAUACAAAGCGCCUUGAAGUGGGGGCAUUUGUAGACAUCGAAAUUUCGGUAAAUAAAUGUUGACCGAUAAAUCAAAGUUUCAACACUCAUGUAUUACAUAAAUUUUACACGUAGCGUGUGUCUAAACAAAAAAUCGAAAUAAGUCGGAAAAGUCAUCAAACAGGACACGUGUCAACGUCCGGCAGAAAUGAUUUAUUUCAUCUGAUUAUUUAAUCCCAAAAAUCAAGUUUUGGAAUUCUAUAAAUAGAAGCCAAUUUCAUUCAUUUAAAAAAAAACCAAUUCAUAACCAAUUCACCUCACACCAAAACCUUGAAGCUUUGAAACUCCAAAGCUCCCAAGCAAAUCCUGAAGGUCAAGAAAGCUCUCUUCAUUCUUCGUCAACCCAACCUUCAAGAUCAAGCCCCGACGGCCCUUGAAGAAAGCGUUCAUCGUUCAUCAUCCGUUCAUCCUAAGAUCAAGCCCCCAACGGCCCUUUGGAUCAACAGCAUCAACAAAUCCACAUAUCCAACCGUUCUUCAAGAUAAAGCCCAAAAGCCCUUGAAGAUCCAUUCAUCAACUGUUCAUCAAGAUCAAGCCCCAAAGGCCCUUGAAGAUCUGUUCAUCAACAAUUCUUCAAAAUCAAGCCCAAAAGCCUUGAAGAUCCGUUCAUCCAUCAACCUUCAAGAUCAAGCCCAAAUGCCCUUGAAGAAACUUCCCUCAACCUUCAAGAUUAAGCCCCAACGGCCCUUGAAGAAAACUUUCGACCGUUCAUCCAAGAUCAAGCCUUGACGGCCCUUGGAUCAAUCGCACAUCCACAAAUCAACACCUUACGGAGAUCGAAUCAGAUGAUCAAAUUUGAGAGAGAUUGUAACCCCUAAAUCAUUAAUACAAAUAUUAUUUUGUACACGUGUUCUUGUCUCGUUCGUUUCAGGAAUUUCCGUGUUUACAAAAUUGUCAGGCCUAUACUUAAUCACUUUGGCCUAAAGGCAUGCUUUUGUGUGAGGAACUCAUUUAGUGGGUUAACACAUUGUGACCUUGUUUAUUUGUGAAAGUGGAUCCACUUGGCCAUAUCUUUUAUUCUCUUUCGUGCUUAGUUUUAGUACUAUCUAGUGGAUUUUUUAGUUUAAUGCUACGUUCUGGUGUCACCAUUUGUAUGUACGUAUCUCAGAAUUAGGAUGUGAAUUAAACCCUAAGCCUUCAGUACUAAAAUCAUAAUUCAACCAUAAAGUAAUUACCAUGAGAAGACAUUCUUGUGUAGAGAACCCGCAUCGAGAUAAGUGUGAGAGAAAAUAAGACCAAAAAAGGAUAAGUGUGGGCCUCAAAAUUAAGAAAAGUGAAAUAAAGGGUAUUUUUGUCACUUGACCUUUAAAGACACGUGGUUCGGCACUUGGCAGUUGGACCUUAGAAUUUCUCCACCAUAAGACCCUAAACUUUACUAGACAUUGUAUUCAUAACCCCUAAUAUGUCUUACACAAAAUAAAAUAAAGGAAAAGGAUAAACAAUAGAAAAACAAACCUAGUUAUUAUAAGAGAAGUCAAUUCCCAUUUGGGGGGUUUAUAAUAAUGUAAUAUUUUCUUUCUUUUGUUCCUCAAAACAAAAUGAAAACAUUUUGGUACAACACCUUCUUGCUGAUGAAGUUCCAAAACCAUCAUACUUGGAAACCUCAUGUCAUCAUAUGUCUAGUCCUCCUAAUGACUUAUUUUCUCAUUUCCCAAGGUUCCCAAACAAUGAUUUCCGCUUGUCAAAAUGCUCGAAAAUUCUAUUAUACUUCAAAGUAUUCUAUAAUCCAGAGUUUUUGGUCAUCACAUUUUAACAAAGUACAAACAUUUUUGACAAAUGCAAAGAAUCCCCAAUAAAGAAUAGAGAGCAAUUCCACCUUUCCCUUGUCCAUCUUUCCCUCCCUAUUCACUGGCUUUUCAUGGAAUCUAACACAGUUGCAGACUUGUAUACCCAAAGCUGGGUUCAGGGUUUAGCUUUUGUGCACCUAACUUGGCUUCUCUUGAAGAUGUGAUUAGAAAUAGUAUGUAAAGCCGUCAACCGUGGUCGUCAAUGAAGAUUUGAUGGACAACGAGGGUUGGUAGAACCCAUUCAAAACACACUGGUAGCUAAGUUUUGGUCAUCAUGCUACAAUUCAAUUUUCACAACCAUUAUAAACUAAUCAAAUUAAGCCAAUAAUAACUAGCUUUUACAAAAAUUAAAACAAAUCAAACUUGGUCUUUCCCUGUUUAAAAAUAAAGUUCCACCGUAAGUUGAGGGAGAUUAUAGUGGAAAAGGCCUUUGAAUUGACAUAUUUACAACUCCUAAUCAUAGCUAUUGUAAAAGACGCUACGACCCUCACUCCGAACCUUCAAGUUACAAGUUUUCUUUAAGAAAAAAGAAAAACAAUGGGGGAUAAAAAGAAGUGAAUUCAUAAGCCCACCAACAAAGGAAUUUUCAUCUUUGUAAACAUCAUUUAAUUUCAAAUAAUGUUGUUUCAAAAAAGAAAAAAAGAAUGUAGGUUCAUCUACCCUCAUUGGCUAACUGUAAAGACCCUUCUCUCAUCAACUUCAAGCUUAUGCUGUUGAAUCUUUCCCGUGAAUAUUGCCUGGAUGCUUUUCUCCAAUCUGUACCAGCCUUCAUCAUAGCAGCAAACUCCUCGUAACUGAUGCGCCCAUCCUGCAAGACAGCCAUACAAGAAUGGUUGUAGUUUAUGUUAUCGUUGAUGCACACACUACUAGUUAAUGAUAUUCACACAUAACUUGAUUACAAAUAUUGAUACAUGCACAUAACAAAAGUAAUAAAAAAGUACUCUUACAAAAUGAAGGCAUCUUAACUAGUGUAUUGACUUUGUUCUUAGGAUAAGUAUUUUCCGCAUAAAGACCAACUAAAAACUACAAUUUUCUUGACAAAAAAAAGAACCUAAAGGCAACAACCAAUACAUGGCAAGGUUAAUUAUUAGGGGAAGGCUUGAAGGUUUAAAAGUAGGGCCUUUUAACCAUGUAAGCUGGAAUAAAACGUUUUGGAUGAAGGAUAAAGCUUUUUGUUAAUUGUAUCAAAACUGUUUUUCUAACCUUAUCUGUGUCUACGUCAUGCAUAAUUGCAUGGAUGACUUCCUCACCACCUGUGUCAACAUCAUCAGUUAAAGCAUUUCUUAAUUCUUCAAUUUCUAUGUAACCACUUUGGUUUUGGUCGAAGAAUGAAAAGGCUUUAUGCAGAUGCUCGUCAUUUGCCAUUCUUUUAAGGUGAACCGUAACAGCAACAAACUCUCCAUAGUUGAGAGCUCCAUCCCCAUCGACAUCAGCCUGUAGCAAUCAGAAAUCAAUUAGUUACUUCAUAAAGUCCCCAAAAGAAACUAACAUGUAGGACCGUUCCCCUGUCUCUUUCUCUUGUAAAAAGUUUUCUUUUCUCUUUUCCAAAAUUUCUUAUUUUUAGUUUGCUUCUUGAGAUUUAACAUGAUGCAAAGUAAGACACAUUAUUAUGCAACCCUAGGUUAAAAGUAAGAAGGCAAGUUGGCGAAGCACAAAUUAAUACUUACCGCUUCCAUUAGUAUUUGAAGAUCUGGAUCAGGAAUAUUUUGCCCCAGCUGUUGUAUCCCACUUCGUAGCUCUUCUAUGGUUACCUUGCCCUUGUUGCCAGCAUCCAUCAUUUGAAAAGCCUCUUUUAUGCCAGCAACUUCCUCAACUGACAAAUGGUCAGCUAUGACCUAUGCAUGAAAUGGUCAAGGGUUCAAACAUUGAAUAUAUGGUUAACUUUAACACAACAUACAAGUUGCUCAACAUAAAUUCCUUCAAUAACUAUGGAAUCCCAAUAAAUAAUUUCAAAACAUUACCCCUAGAGCUCUUUUCUUCAGCUUGUUCAUUACAGAAAAUUGCUUCAACCUUGCUCUCACAGUCUCACCAAGUGGGACAUUUGGGGCCUUCUUGGCAUUUUGAAUCCAAUGAUGAUCUACAAGAAAAAAAAAAGGAUUAACAUGUCAUGUAAAGCAAUAAAACUUUGGAAAAUAUAAGAUAUCAAAUUACUAC